UUUUUUUUCCUCCAAUCAACAGCAUUGCAUCACUUGCGGUUGCUCAAAAUAUGCGUGAGCUUUACAGGCUGGUUCUAGUUGAUACACCCUUAGCACCGUACUUCUCAGAGUGCAUUACAUCUGAGGUAAAAACUUUGCAACCAUUGUGCUGUCCAUUUUUGUUGAAAUGGUUAAGUAUACCUUGGUAUGUCAUGCGAGCUUCAUGUUUAUUGUGUAGGAUCUGGAUGACAUGAAUAUUGAGAUCAUGAGGAACACACUCUACAAAGCGUAUCUUGAGGAUUUUUACAAAUUUUGCGCGGUAUGUACUAAAAUAUGGUGGCUUCUACAAUUUUUCUGACUGAAAAUGUUGUUUUGCCUAAUUGUGUUUGGUUUCUAACUAACUUCUUCGCAACAGAAACUAGGUGGUGCGACGGCUGAGAUUAUGUGUAAUCUCCUUUCAUUUGAAGCCGACAGAAGAGCUGUAAACAUUACAAUAAACAGGUAAAAAACUAAACAUUUCAUCCUUAUGUGUGACAGAUCUCCAUGUUUGCCAUUACAUUCACAGACAUCUGACUGCUAAUUUCCUUGUCAUGUUUUUUCAGUAUUGGUACUGAGCUGACUAGAGAUGACCGCCGGAAGCUGUACUCCAACUUUGGUCUAUUGUAGGUUUCCGUUGGAAGUAGCACUAGCAUUACUUUUAGUUAAAAUAUGCCUAUUUUGCAUGUGGUUAUAGUAAUCUGAUGUUUCCAGGUUUCCGUAUGGUCAUGAAGACUUGGCUGUCUGUGAAGAUGUUGACCAGGUUUAUCCCCUGUUCUGCUUUUAAGCUCAAUGUUGGUCAUUCUACUACAUAAAUAUUUUCAGUUGUCUAAACACAGAGUUAUAAUGCCAUGAACUGGUUCAUUUUAUUACCUAACUUUGUGCAUAUUGCUCAGUAUUUCAGGCUUAAGUUCUGUUAAUAUGGUUAUUUCAUGAUAAAAUGUCUCUUUCAGAUGUUUGUGAUAGGGCCAUUGAUAAUAAUUAACUCCUCGUGAGGUCUUUUAAACAUACCAUGUGCCCUAGGCUGAACACUUCCUCCGUAAGAAUGGAGAAGCUUCAUACCUACCAGUCACCAGGGUCAAGGAAUGGGGUUGCCUCUCCCGUGUGGCUUAAAAAAAUGAGGGUAAAGAANNNNNNNNNNNNNNNNNNNNNNNNNNNNNNNNNNNNNNNNNNNNNNNNNNNNNNNNNNNNNNNNNNNNNNNNNNNNNNNNNNNNNNNNNNNNNNNNNNNNNNNNNNNNNNNNNNNNNNNNNNNNNNNNNNNNNNNNNNNNNNNNNNNNNNNNNNNNNNNNNNNNNNNNNNNNNNNCGACAGUAGCAACAGUCUAUUUUCUGUGUUGAUAAUUAUUGCCAAAAACGUGUACCACUUUGUUGAUGGUGCGGAUGGCCAGGUAAGCCUCCAUCAAUUUGCCUGCAAGUUUCGUGUUCCUGAGCUUCCUUUAGGGCCAAUUUAUCCUGGGUUAGGGGACACAUCAUCGACCUGUGUGCCUGGCUUAUCUGAGAAGAAUGAUAUUCCAUUGGAGAUGCUUUUGUGGCAUUUCAUUUGAUGGGCAUAAGUCAAACUCGGCUUACUGGAUGCUCUUUUAUAUCAGCUGCAGUAUGAAUGUUUUGUUUGGCCUACAGCAGUCAUGGUCUCAUUCUGUCAUACGGCUCUUUUCUCGCACGAAGAUUAACAUCAUGUGUUCUUUUUAUUGAAAAUUGCCCUAUGUGGUAUACUUAUCCUGUAAGCAUGUGCAUCUAUUUCUUUCUUUGUGUAUCAUCAGCAUUUGGCAAGCUAGCAUUUUAGCUAACAGUAACACACAUUUAUAUAUUGUCCUUUUUUUGGCGUCUUACCCUCUGGUCUCUCUUGUUAGGAUGACUGUUUUCCUGUUCUGAUUUAUGCUCUCUAGGAUGUAUUGUGGUUUUGAGUGUGCUACUACAUUUUGGAAGUUCUCACUUGAAAGUUAAAUGUGUGUUUUGUUGUUGUGGAGAUGAUAAUAAACAGAGCAUAGGGAAAUCUCAACAAGCAUGUAGUAUUUCAAGAGGGAUUGCAUCUAAUUUAUACUGGAAUUCAGACCAGUGUCCUCUUCAUAAAAGUGAGAUCUGUGCCCACGCAUGAAUUGCUGACGUCAAUACUUUUUUUGUGCUCAUCCCGCAGGUGCGUGGUGUAAUGGAAAAGUACCCCCCAUACCAGUCUAUUUUUGCCAAGAUAUCAUAUGGCGAAAGCCAGAUGUUGGACAAGGCCUUUUAUGAGGAGGAAGUAAAGAGGCUGUGCCUGUCAUUUGAACAGCAGGUACAAUUUUUUAGGUUUACCUUAUAUGUAGGUUUACACAAGUUACUUUAUGUAAACUAUCUGACAGGAAUAACAACAGAUGGUCAAAAUGUAAGAGAUCCGAUAUUGUACACUGGAUGCAUGCAAGUUCUCUAGGUCACUGGUUAUACACUCAAUAAAGAUUAGCAGUAAAGCAGUAAACACCAACUAUUGGUAGGCUGAUUUAGUCAAAGCCUAUAACACGCCCAGCCACAUGAGAGAGGGAUUGCAGCACCCGAGCUCCACUGCUCUCUAUAUCUAAACAUUUUGAAAUUUGUGUUUUUGAAGUUUCAAAAAAAUAUGAAAUUUUUCCCAGGGAUACGUAUACAUAUUCCUAAUAUCUGUGGCAAGUUUCGGUAGAAAUCUCAUUUUGUUUUUGGCUAUAAAAAAACAAAUUUCUGACAGAAUAUAGGAGAAAAGGGAUUUCUCUUUUUUAUAUUUCCCAUAACACAAAGUAUUUCUUUUUCAGAUUUUUACCGGGCCUUAGGAUUGUGUGUAUGUAUUCACGUAUUUGAUUUAAGAUUUUUUUUAGCGACGGAAGUGUGUUUUUCAAAAUUUUCAAAUACCAGGAGCCAUGGAGACCUGGAGCUGCAAGCAGUUUUCGCAGCCACAUGCACUACUGAUGCAUACCAGCGUGGUGCAUACAUACAUGCUUGUAAAAUAUGCGCUAACCAGCCACGACUUUGCACAUGAUUCUAUAGAUCCAUCUUAAGUCAUAACUCUAUUUGAACAACUUGUGAGUGCCCGAUAGUUCUAAAAAAAUGCCAUAAGUGCUAGUGCCUGUUGGUGAGUUUUAUUGUCUCAGAAAACUUGUGAGCUUUGUGUGCCACUAUUUCGGACCUCAACUCUAGAAUUUAAGGUGGGAGCUCUGAUAUUCUCUUCUUGUUUGUGCAGUUCCACUAUGCCGUUUUCUUCGCAUACAUGAGGCUACGAGAGCAGGAGAUAAGGAACUUGAUGUGGAUCUCUGAAUGCGUUGCUCAGAACCAGAAGAACAGGGUCCACGACAGCGUCGUGCCGAUCUUUUAAUCGCCCCCUAUUACUGUGCAUAUGGUUGUACAAAAGGCCUGCUUUGAUGAUGGCACAAUCGAUUGCACACUUUACAAGCUCAUGGUUUGUUAUUACCCCUGUUCCUCUUUCUACGCGGCUGAAAAGCUAGACCUGGAGUAGUGUAUCAUUAUUUGUUUUUGUAGUAAAAAUAAAAGGCGCAGUUGUACGGUAAACUAAAUAAAUGAUGUUUAUUUUCGUAGUGGGUGGCACUAUUUGUGCAGUUUGUUGGCAAUGUAAAAUGUACACCCAAGAUAUCAAAUGGUUUGUUGGCAAAACAGACUCUUUUACUGCAUUAUCAAAUGGAACUUGUGCAGCUUAGAAAAGACAUGGAAAUUGUUGGGCUUUGUUUACUAUUGUGUAUUUUCCCAAGCCUCCUAGCCUUGCACCUUAUAAAAAAAAAUAGAUCAUGAAAAUGCAGGUCUACGAGUAUGUGAUAGUAAGUUUCAUGUACUAUAAUUUAGUGAUGUACGUACGCGUGAUAGUAUCAUUAGAAUUUAUUCCUCACGUAUAUAUCUCGGCAGCUAGGUCGUACAUCCGCUCGUAUUGUUAGGUGCACGCACACAUCAGCACAACGGACGCUGCAUUUACAUUCAGUGAUGAUGAUGAUUUUCAGUUUCUGGAGAAGAGCCUAUGGGAGACGAAGACGCCUAGCGUGAAGGCGGCGACGGCGGUGGCGGCGAUCACCUCCUUGUUCUUACCUAUGGUAUCUGCCCACUUGAACCCCUCCUCCGCCGCCCGCUCCUUCCAGCAGCCUUUCUUCUCCCUCUGCGUCUCCGUCUCUGUCGCCGUCUCAUACUCAAGCUUCUCCUUGUGGUCCUGACCAUCAUCUCCUUUCACCACCUUUUCUGUUGCCUUGGGCUCCUGUUUCCUGUCGUCCACUUUCGUGGCCGGGGGUUCCUUGGCCGUCUCCUCUCUGUGCCUCCCCAGCUGCAACCUUGCCCUCGCCGCCUCGAUCAGCCGCUCCGCCUCCCGGAUAACCUUGGAUUUCUCAUCCGUUGGUUUGUCGCCGACGUCCUUGGCCGGGGCGGAAGGCAGCUUGGGCACGGUGAGCGUGAGCAAGUUGGCGUCGUACCGGCCGGUGAUUGCGUCGAGGUCGGAUGUAGAUGGCAGCUGAAACACCUUGUGCAGCCGCACGUUCCCAGCUCCGCCAUCCGCCGUUUUGUGGCCGAGGAUGUUGAGCCGGCCCGCGGGGUCCACGUGCACCCGGAAGUCCUCCUUCUUGAACCCUUGAUCAACAUAAUGUCACACAACUCAGUAGGUACAACAGCAAAGCUUAAUUCGGGUUCGGGGAGCACCAUUUCAUCCAUCUCACUCAGCACGAGUCACGAACGGGCAUCGCACGUACCUGGGAGGUUGAGGCGGAGGAGAUAGCUGCCGUCGCCGUCGACCCACUCGUACACGGGGUCCAAGUCGGCCGCCACGGCUGACGAUUCUUGCCCGCCCGCCAUGUCGUUUCACUGGGUUUCCCGGGCCGGGCGAUCAGACGGUACCUAGCUAGCUUCAGCCGCGUACUGAUCGAUCGGGCUGGAGGUGCCACCUAGAGUUACUGCCACGCGCCUCAUAUAUAGCAUCAUGUACGCAGCUUGCCUCCUUGCGCUGGUAACGCUAAAACUAUUCGAAGCUUUUCUUGAGGGGCUGGGCUGGCACAAGGAAAAUUUAUCGUGGGGGUCUAGCCAGGGGAUCUCCAUUUCCUCCUCCUAGACGUGUAACGUGUCUUGGGCUCACUAUACUUUGGGCGUGCGCCAGGGUAUCGUCUGUACUAAGAGCAACUUGAAUGGCGCGCCCAUUUUAUCCGCCCAUGUCCGUUUGAGUCUGCGCGACAAAAACGACGGCCCGACGCAGAAACCCAUUUUUAUUUUGCGUCCGCUUUGUGUCCGCGCGAAACCCAUUUCCGUCCUAAAUUUGAGUCACAUUUGGGUCCGAGGCGGAUACGAAGCGGACGUUUUCUCUGUCGCUCUCGUCCGUCUGCGUCCGGGCCUGGCCCGCUUGUCACCCACCCAUCUCUCUCUCUUCGUAUUUAUAUGAGCUGGCCCACUUCCCCACCGCUCGAGGCGCACUUUGCUCCGAUGCGCCCCUGCUUCGCCCCGCUCGCCGCCGUGCUUGAGCGGCCGUGCUCCGCCCCGCUCCCCGCCCCUGCUCCGCCAGGCUCGCCGCUCUCAGGGUCCUCGCGUCGCUUCGUAUCCCGGAGCAGGAGCUGGUCCGGUGGUGCUCUUCGAGCGGUGGUUGAAGGCCGCCGGUGGUGUCGGAGCCGCGAGCCUCCUCCUCCCCGCGCCGCGAUGGCCGGUGCGCGCCCUCCCCCGUCCGCUACGACGCCUCUCNNNNNNNNNNNNNNNNNNNNNNNNNNNNNNNNNNNNNNNNNNNNNNNNNNNNNNNNNNNNNNNNNNNNNNNNNNNNNNNNNNNNNNNNNNNNNNNNNNNNNNNNNNNNNNNNNNNNNNNNNNNNNNNNNNNNNNNNNNNNNNNNNNNNNNNNNNNNNNNNNNNNNNNNNNNNNNNNNNNNNNNNNNNNNNNNNNNNNNNNNNNNNNNNNNNNNNNNNNNNNNNNNNNNNNNNNNNNNNNNNNNNNNNNNNNNNNNNNNNNNNNNNNNNNNNNNNNNNNNNNNNNNNNNNNNNNNNNNNNNNNNNNNNNNNNNNNNNNNNNNNNNNNNNNNNNNNNNNNNNNNNNNNNNNNNNNNNNNNNNNNNNNNNNNNNNNNNNNNNNNNNNNNNNNNNNNNNNNNNNNNNNNNNNNNNNNNNNNNNNNNNNNNNNNNNNNNNNNNNNNNNNNNNNNNNNNNNNNNNNNNNNNNNNNNNNNNNNNNNNNNNNNNNNNNNNNNNNNNNNNNNNNNNNNNNNNNNNNNNNNNNNNNNNNNNNNNNNNNNNNNNNNNNCGGCGGCCGCGGCCUGACGCGGGAGCGGGCGAGUGCGACCGCGGGACAUGGGCGCGGGCGCGACGGCGGGAGGCCAUGGCAAGACGCGGGCGCGAUGCCGGGUGCGGCUGGAGCCCGGAGCUUGUGUCGACGAGCAGCUCAGGGCGGUGGCCCGUCAGGUGUUUGAAGAAAUGCCUGGAUGGACAUGCCCAAAAUGGGUCUGUUCCGUGUUGGGCACACCGGCUGACCCAAUUAAAAAAGCGGACACGGAUGUCCGCCCGGCCGACCCAAACGAACAAAAUGCGGACAAAAUCCGUGUCCGUUUGGAUCACCCCAUUAGAGUUGCUCUAACUCCAUCUCACCUAAGCAACAAAAGAACUCGACAUUUUUUAACUUUCUCUCCGCGUCUCAUACCUCACACAAAUAGUUUAUCCCAAGUAUUUUUUUUAAAAAGGGCAAAAGAUUUCCCACGUAUAUUAAUUAAGAGAGAAUAGAGUUUGUGUUACAAACACCCCUUAACAAUACACGGAAGAAUCACUUUCCCGGCAUAAUGGACCCUAGUUUCUUAGCUCCGGCGGCGACCCAAAAUGAUGCCUCCCUUUUGAUGUUGUCGAGAAGAACCGUAGGCGGAUCGACCAUGUUGCGAAAUACACGGGCGUUUCGCUCGUUCCAGAUCGUCCAUGUAGUGAGCAUGGUGAGCGAGGCCAUGGCCUUCCGGUUGGGGACGGAAGCAUCAGUUAACCCAAGCCACCAGUCUAAGGUGGAAUGCCUCAGGGGCCAAGUAGAGGUGUCAAUGUGAAUGAGUUGCAGCCACGCCUUGACCAAGCCCCAUAGGCGAAUGGUGAAACGACAUUUGAAGAAGAGAUGGUCAACCGAUUCAUUCUCACGCAUGCAUAAGGGGCAUGAGCCACAGUUAGGCCAACCGCGCUUGGCCAAUCGAUCCGCAGUCCAGACUCUAUUUUGGAUGGCCAGCCAAGCAAAGAACUUGACCUUGGGUGGAGCCCAGAUUUUCCAUACUGCAUGCUCCAAGGGAGAGCGAAUGAGGCCGAGAAACUGCGCUUUGUAGGCGGACUCCGCCGUGUAGAGGCCACUAGUAGAAUGCUUCCAAACAAUGUCGUCGUCAAUAUCCUCCUGUAGGUGAAAAUCCCGGAUGGUGGCCCAAAGCUCGAGAAAUUGUCUGAAGUGCUCUAUAGAAAAAUCGGACGUCAUCUUGAUCUUUUUAACCCAAGCGCCAUCCUUUAGUGCUUCCCGCACCUUCCAAUUCUUCCUCGUUGACGCCGCAUAGAUGAGAGGGCCAAAUCCAUGGGUUUGCGGUUGUGCACCCACGGAGAGUCCCAAAAGGGGAUGCGCGCGCCAUUUCCCACGAUAAUAGUUGAGGAGGCAUAGAAGAAGUUGUAGUCUGCGUUAUCGCACAGGUUACCCAUGCCGACCCACAUCUUAUUUGGCUCCUUCCACUCAAACCAAAUCCAACGAAGCCUUAGUGCCCUAGCAAAUUUCUCCGUGUUUAGCACUCCAAGACUCCCAUUGGCAAUUGGGCGGCAAAUGGUGUCCCAGUUAACCUUGCAUUUGGCCCCGGUGGUCUUGUCUGUUCCCUCCCAAAGGAACGCUCGCUCAAGCUUGUUGAGAUUUUUGAGGGUGCUUGUGGGGACGACGAGCGUAGUGAUGAAGUAUAUGGCUUGGGAGGGAAGCACCGACUUGACCAAGGCGGUGCGUCCCAUAGACGUGAUGUUUUGCCCGUCCCAAGGGACCAACUUUGCCGCCGCCUUAUCCUCCAGGAACUGAAAGUCCACCUUCCUGAGCCGCCACACAGAGAGCGGGAGGCCUAAGUAAUUCAUGGGGAAGGAUCCGCGCGCCGCCGGAAGGUUUUGAAGGAUGUCCGACAGGUUGAUGUGCCCACAACGGAUUGGGGUGACCGAGCUCUUGUGAAAGUUGGUGGCUAGACCGGUGACAUCGCCAAAAAGACAAAGGAUGUUGGAGAGGUUGUCAAUAUCGUGCUUGAUGGGUGCCAUGAAGACCGCCGCGUCGUCCACAUAAAGGGAGGUUCGUAAAAGAACCCCACGGCCACGGAUUUUAUGAAAUAGCCCUCUAGUUGCCGCCAUCUCUAGAAUUCUUUGGAGUGGGUCGACCGCGACCACAAAUAGCAAGGGGGAUAUAGGGUCCCCCUGCCGGAGACCCUGGCCAUGGAUGAUGGGGCUGCCAGCGACGCCGUUAAGAAGAAUCCGCGAGGAUGAGGAGCAAAGUAGGGCGGUGAUCCAAUCUCGAAAAAUGCUCGGGAACCCCCUACGGCGGAGGAGGUCAAUGAUAUACUCCCACUUGACUGAAUCAAAUGCCUUCGAAUGUCCAACUUGAAGAGAAGCGAAGGGGUUUUGCACUUGUGGAGCCUCCGCGCAAGAUUCCUCACAUACAUGAAAUUGUCAUGGAUGCUUCUUGUCUUGAUGAAAGCACUCUGCGCGUUGGAGACAAGGUGGAGCAUGUGGUGGCUAAGACGGAUGGCGAGGACCUUUGCAAUGAUCUUGGGAAUAGCAUGAAUCAGACUAAUUGGACGGUAGUCGAAGAUUUCUUCAGCUCCAUCCUUCUUUGGGAGCAGUAUAAUGUUGGCGGAGUUGACCCAAUGAAGGUUGGCCGUGCGGAGGUUACCGAAGCAAAAGAUGGCCUUCAUAAUAUCAUGCCUGAUGAUGGCCCAACAACUCUUGAAGGAAAGCCCGGUGAAGCCAUCCGGUCCGGGCGCCUUGUCACCAGGCAUCUGGUUGAUGGCCUCACGCACCUCCUCCUCGGAGAAAGGGUCCGCGAGGUUGCCCAAAUCAUCACGGGCCUAAAUGUCCAACCCCUCCCAGUUGAAGUCUGUGGUCGCCGUGGAUCCUUUUCCCAUGGUCGAGGAGAAAUAGUUGUGGACAAUAGCCUCCUUUUGAGAGUGCUCAGUGACCCAUCCACCGGUGUGCUUGAUACGGUGUAUGUGGUUCUUGCGUCUUCCGGCGGUGGAAAAAUUUGGUGUUUGCAUCCCCCUCUUUGAGGUUGGAAAUCCUAGCACAUUGCUUUUUUCUCGCCCUCUCAAGAAUUGCGAAGGCAAUAACUCUCCGCUUAAGCCUAGAGCGGAGCUCCAGCUCCUCAACAGAGAGGUGCCUCGAGUCUUGAGCCAUGUCCAGGUGAAGAAUUACUAGCAAGGCAGCAUGAUGCAUGAUCUUGGCCUUUCAGAAUAGGCCCUUACUCCAUCUCAAGAGUUUGGCUUGAAACUUGUGGUGCAAUAUCCGAAAGGGGUCGGUAUGAUGAGUGUGCUCAUUCCAUGCAUUAGCAACCACAUCGCUAAACCCCAGAAGAGAAGUCCAAAAAUUCUCAAAUUUGAAUCGUUACCACAUCCCAAGUAUGACAGACUAUUGUUCCAGGUUUUGUUAUUUAGCUUCUUAAUAAAUCGUUACCACUAUAGCACAACACGCAGCUCCUCAAACAAUGUCAGUACUAAGCAUGCAUCCAAGAGGAUUAAUUACUCACACAUCAAAUGGAUCAACUGGAACAAGGGCAUCAAGGAAUGAAUUGAACACACUGUCUGUAACCGCCAAUCUGUCACAUUUGACAAGAUUCACAGUAGGUCUUAACCACCAGAAAUUAUUGACAGGCGCUGAUGAUCAAAUCAAAAUAAUGAGGUCGUCAAGGCUAACAUUUGCCUAGGAAACAGAUUAUGUGGACAAAGGAGGAAUUCAAGAUCAAAAUGAAAGCGCAAAGAGAUGACCUGGGGCCAUGUUAUUCCAAUCCAGCAGAACUUAACUUUUUUUUUUCAAAACAUAGGGUCCCAGCUGUGCAUCUCAAGGCUUUAGCACCAAUGACAGACCAACUUUUGUGCUCUUCUCAAUUGCCUUUGUGUCAACCUCGCCGGAGAUGGUGACAAGUGACUUGGGUCGCCAUUCAUGCUGGACAAGGGCACUGGCCAUGCCAUAGUUGUUGAAGCGUGCCUUCACACUGGUGUGCGGGUCCAAUGAGUGCUGCGAUCCAAAUAUCAAUGUGCUCUCGUUCCUUGGGAAGUUGUGGGACAGCUCUGCUCCAACAGCAGUGCUUGAAUGUGACUUUACUAAGUGGUAGUAAGACGCAGUCAAGGUGUCACCGUGAUUGUUCCUGGAUGAGAUUUGAAAGUUCAUUACCAGAGCAAAUGCUAUUAUAAUAAAGCAAUGAAGCACCGCACUUGACACCUUAGUAUGGAAUCAGAUUGCUAAUCAGCAUUACCUAUCAAUCUUGAAAGAAUUACAUAGUAGUAAUACAUAUGAUAGCUGCACAUAUAGAGAUACUUACAGGUGGAGUGAAGCAAUAAGAUCCGGAUACGUGAGGCUUAAAGCAGCAUUGUACUUGGUGAAAUUGCUAGUUGCCGUGUCAAACGAAACGUCAACACCAACUGAUAGUUCUUUGCUUCCGAAUACACCAGAAAGGUUAACCAUAGGGUUGGGGUUCAGCCCAACACUUGCAUUGACACCGGCGAAUCCAUGGAGAUACUGGAGUUCAAGCUGUCAAGGCAAAAAAAUACAAAUUAAAUCUCCUAUCGCAGUGAUCACCAUAUUGCAGAUUAGAAGUUUAAGCAAACGGAGUGGUAAGAAAAUUAUACCUUCCCUGACCUCUGGUCUGGAACAACCAAACUGAGAAUUGAUUUCAGCCCUGGAGUUGCAAACUCGUCAACUGUGAAUGUUGUCAGAAGCUGGAAGACGUGAAAUAUUCAUCAGCGAAUAAAAAAUCUCAAGAACUGUAACAUUGCUGUGAAUUAAUAUUAUGAGGCAUAAAAGAAAAGCCAAAUAUGUGAGAAAUAAUAUCAAGGGAAAACAAGCAAUCAGAUGUUUAUACAUGAUUCAUGUGAGAGAAAAAGGGAGAGUCGGAGCAAAGGCGGCUUACAUCUGACUCUGAGUUUGCUUUGAUAUCAACUGUCAAGUUCUUGUUCUUAAGCUGGGUCUGAAGCUCGCCAAAGAUUGACUCGUUUUUCCUAGUUCCUGCAGCUGUGAUUGCCUGUACGUAAACCAAAAUCAUUAAUACGUAGUAGCGCACAAAUACUAGACAGAGACACGGUUACCGAAACCAUACAGGUAAACCAAAACCAUCAAUAUGGAGUGCACAAAUCAUAUCCAGAGACAUGGUUACCUAAACCAUAUACUGAUCAUGAGUACAUUUCCUCAAGAAAUGCUUCGUGUCAAGGAAUCAAAAGAUGCACAAUCCAGUCAAGGUGAAAGGGAAAAGGGUAAAGUUCUGGCAGCUCGUUGCGAAAGUGAAGAGACGGUCCCUAAACAAAGAUUUAAUAUCCUUGUAACACAUGAGGGUCCACAGUCUCCCUCCAUGGCCAAAACUGAAAACUCUACAUGCAGAACAGGCACACACGGAAUGAGAACAGCUCGACACAGUGGCACGGCGGCGAUCUGUGUCGGCAACGGCGGUACAGAGGCACAAAAUAGAGAUCGGCGGGCAUCAUUCUAACAUGCAUUUGUACCGUAAGUAGUCGAUCAAGGUGGGGAAUGCGUGGCGGACCGUAACUGGGACACUGCUACGGGACACAAAUUUGCGAAAUCGCUAUGGAACAAGUGCGAGGGAGAGGAUGGCACUGGUACUCACGACGCCCUCGGGGGUGCAUGUGGUGAGGGUGAACUUCUGGUGCGUGCAGUAGUCCCUGUAGAGCAGAUCUGCGUGCAAAUCAUCACAUCACAUCACAGCAUCAUCAAGAUCGGCACCGGAGAGGCAAUCAGAGGAGGGGAGAGAGGGACUGGCGGCACCUCUGGUCUUCUUGCCGAUGUCGGUGUAGAGGCCCGGAGCCAUGGCGGCCGGCGACGGAGACGACGACUUGGGUGGUGGUGGGGAGAAGAGAGCGGGAGAGAGAUCGCGGGGAAGCGGCAGCGUCGGGCGGAGGCUGCGGCGACCAGUUAAAAUGGAGUCGUGGCAGAUCUUGCCCCUAUCGUUUUCACUUUACAAAAUGUUUGUUUUUCUGCGAUUUUGGAUGAUUCGUGUGCUGGUGUCGAGUAAAUUGCACAGAAGUACCACAAUUGGGGCAUUGGAAGCAGAUUGAUACCAAGAUUGGUAAUUUUUACGUGUCAGUACCAACUUUGAGGCGAGACGUUGCAAAAGAGGCUAAAAGUGAUGUUUAUACGUAUUGACAGGGAAACUGACCGGUUGGGCCCGCCCGUCAGGCGCCACGCUGGCCAGUGCGCGCGUCGCCUGCGCUGACUCGGACGAGGCCGGCUCGGCCCGUUUAUGUGCGACCGAGCCAGACCCCGACCCCGACCGCGCUCGCUUCUUCUUUCUUUCUUCCUGCCUCGCCGUCGCCUGCGCCCGCCACCGCCGGCCGCCACAGCACGCCGCCGCAGCCAUGGUUCUGGAGGACGAGAGCAGCGACGACAACUCAAGCCUCCCGUACAUGCACUCCGAAACCUCCACCGAUGGGCUGAACCAGGUAAGUUACUCCAUUAGAGCUAGGGUUAGGGUUAGGUUUAGGAAAUUUGGGGAUUUUUGUGUGUAGGUGGUCUUUGUUGUUAGGAUUUCGUUUGAUUUGAUUUGUCAUCGUCCUCUGCACAUGAUGGUAACUUGGAUUUUGCUUGGGCAGGUGCCUUUCUCUCUUGAGGACCCGGAUUACAAGGGUCUUGAGCUAGAUCUGAUAGUGUUGUGCGAGAAGCAUGGGUCAGAGAGGCUUGUUGCGUUUGAAGGAACAAUGACUGGGAGAAGGUUCUUAGCAUGUGCAGAGCCGGUAAUUUUCUUGCCUUGGUGAUUAAGCACUGGAUGUGUUCAUUGAAAGUGGCAGAGUCUUGUUUGCCACCUGUGAUUCAGUUAUGUGCAUGCUAAAUUUGUUAGGAAUGAUCAUUAUUAAGUUCAGUGGAAUGCAUUUAUUAGAAAAUAUAUGCUCCUGUUGUGUGCACAUGCUAUUUAUUUACACUUCUUUCCAAAUGCAGUGUUGCUCAAUAUUAAGUUCAGUGGAGCCAGUUAGUAACAAUUGCUUACUGCUGACAGUAGGUAGUCUCAUUAGCUAGUUUGUUGCUGCAGGCUAGUGUAGUGUAUUUAGGUGGGCAAAGUAGUUUUGGAUGUUAACAUAUACCACUCCUCAACAGUAAUAAACAGAGCCUGCGGAUUUCAUUAUAUUAAUGGUCAAUUCUUAGCAACUGCUGUUGCUUAGCACAUGGCUGCUUAGCAACUUCUAAGUUGAAUGGAGUGUUACUCUGGUGCCUGGUAAAUAUAUGAGUUGAUCAUGCAUUGUAGGAUUACAUUAAUCUAUUUUACAAUGUGGUCCUGUUGCUUAGCAAAUGGCUGUGCAAAUCCAGUUAAUGUCAGUGCCAACAUUAGGUACUGCCAUGAACUAACUAUUGCUUAGUACUCUUAGUAGUUGUAUUGUACUAAAUUUUGCCCUUAUAAUUUUUCCAGGAAGGUCAGAAUUGUGGGUUUGUUCAGUGGGUUGAUGAGCAGUGGCCCCCAACAAUGGAGAAUGCAUUGCUGAAGCUUUGGUCAAUGGUUGAAGAGAGCAAGUCUGCUAGGGUGAAUGAUAAUCUUCAAAGUGCUCUAACUAUUCAUCAGUUGAUAGAAGAAAAGAACAAGCUGGAUGCAGACUAUGACAAGUUAGUGAAAGAUGUGCAUCAACUUGUGGACUUUCAGCAGGAUAGGGUUGUGGAUUUCAGUUAUCUGCAGUCUGCUGUCACAUAUCAGCACCAAUGCAGAGCUGAAUUGGUGGCUGGUAUGAAUGCAGAAAUGGCAAAGAAAGAUGCAGCUGCACAGAAGCUUCAACAAAAGUAUGAACUCCUGUGCAACCUGACAAGUGCUCAAGCAACUGUCAUCCAAAACUUGAAGUUGAAGAAUAUGAAAGAGAAGGAAUUGUUGAGUGAGGGUAGGAUGAAUUUGGAGUUGAAGAAUGCAGAGUUCACAAAGUUUGAGGAGAAGCUCACCCAAGAGAAGCUAGAGUUGAAGCUCCAGGUUGCUGAUCUGCUGAAACUCAAGGAAAACCAUAAUGAAGAGAAGCAGAUGCAAGAGUUCAAGAUUACUGAGCUCAUCAAGGCAGAGGAGAAGCUGAAGGAGAAGAUCAAGGGGAUCCAGGCCAUCUUGCAGAACUGAACAAGAUGACUUGAGAUUAGUGGGCAUUGCAGACCUUUUGGGAAUGAUGGUUGUGCAAUGACCUAGUAACUUAGAAUUAUGGUUGUGUAAUGUAUGGUUCUAGUACUAACUGUGAACUCUGGUUGUAACUCUAGUAGUUAUGCUAUUCAUCCUUUUGUGAGAAAAGGAUGGAUUGUGCAUUUGAACUCCACUAUGUAAUGUGAUCAAUGUGAACAAUGGAUAUGUAUUCUAUAAUGUGUUGAACUCCAGUGUUACUUAUGUUAUAGUGAUGCUUAAAUGCUUAAAUGCAUUUGCAAAAGUAAUGCUUAUGUUAGAGUGAUGCCUUUAGGUGUUUUCGUCGACCCCGAGCCACCAAAACCCUAAUUGAUAGGUUUAGGUGUUUUCGUCCACCCCGAGCCACCCUAGACCCUAAAUGAUGCCUUUAGGUGGUUCCGUCGACCCCGAGCCACCCUAGACCCUAAAUGAUGCCUUUAGGUGGUUCCGUCGACCCCGAGCCACCCUAGACCCNNNNNNNNNNNNNNNNNNNNNNNNNNNNNNNNNNNNNNNNNNNNNNNNNNNNNNNNNNNNNNNNNNNNNNNNNNNNNNNNNNNNNNNNNNNNNNNNNNNNUUUAGGUGGUUCCGUCGACCCCGAGCCACCCUAGAGCCUAGAUGAUAGGUUUAGGUGGUUCCGUCGACCCCGAGCCACCAAAACCCUAGUUGAUGCCUUUAGGUGGUUCCGUCGACCCCGAGCCACCAAAACCCAAAGUGCUUCUGUUUUAGCCUAGACCUUAACAACAUAUCGAACAAUGUAUACAACAAUAUAUCCAGCAACAGAGUAACUCUAUCCAAUAGUAUGCACCAUUGUCAUGAACAUAUCAAUCAUAAAAAGAUAUAAAAAGAACCAUCCACAUGAACAUAGUCCAUUCCAUCCACAUGAACAAAAGCCAGCUCCAGAAAUGGCAUUAACUAAUAAAUAAAUCCAUCCAUCCACAUGAACAAAAGCCAUAUAUGGCAUUGAUUCUUAAAGUACACCAGCAAAGUACAAUAAGAGCACCAGCAAAGUACACCGAGAGCACCAGCAAGAUCACAUUGUACCAUAGGAUGCAAGAACACACAUGAAGUAUCUAGUUUUGAACAUUACAUGGCACAUGUGCCAUUUAGUGGUUACCACUUGCAUAGAAGUAGGCUCUCCAUCCUCUGUUUCUACCACCAGAAGGUGGAGUAGCAGUAGAUGUAGAGGGAGCAGUAGAUGUGGAGGGACCAGAUUGCCUUGGGGCAGAGAAUGUACCUCUCCCUCUCCCAGCACCUCUCCCAGCACCUGGUGCAGCACCUCUACCAGCACCUCUAGCAGCACCAGUCCCAGCAGCUGCAGCUGCAGCCCCUCUCCCAGCUCCUCUCCCAGCUCCUCUCCCAGCUCCUGUUCCAGCUGUUGGUGUUGUUGUAGGAGUUGGAUGAGAAGUUGUUGAUGCUUGUGUAGUAGCACCAGCACCAGCAUUGGAAUUCCUUGCAAGAGGCUUGCAUAAACAAAGAAGGAAAAUGAGUUAGUACUUAAAAAAAUAGAAUGUACAAGAAGGAAAACCUGUUACUACUUAUUAGAGGAUUACCACAUGUUUGUUCUUCCUCAAAGCCAGCUCAGGUUUCAACUGCUUGUUGCAGCUUGUGUACCUAUGUCCUUGCAGUCCACAAUUGCCACAUGUUAUAGUCCCCAUUCUUGAUGUCUCCUUAGGCUUUGGGACUUCAAAUUUCCCCUUGAUCCUCUUCUCUUUCUUUCUUAAAUGCAGGUGGGUCAAUGUCUGGACCAGGUGUCCUUGUCCAGUCAUGCUCACCAGGAACUGGAUAGAUCAUUGGUUCAUAAGCUGCCAGAUAAAUUUCUUUCUUGAAGAACUUGCUGACAUAAUCCUCUGGUUUUCUUUUGGCCUUGUUUAUUGCUGAGAUGGCAUGGUUACAUGGGAUGCCACUUAGGUCCCAUUUUCUGCACCCACAUGUGUGCUGGUGCAAGUUAACAGCAUGGGUUUGCUGCCCGCUUGUAACUUGCCACAAGUCCACACCAGCUUGAAUUGGUUUGCAGUAUUUGGCCCUCUCCUUCUCAACCUCUAGCUUCUCACUAUAAUGGGGUGUUAUGUCCCAUCUAGCUUUCUUUCCACUCUCCCUAUUCCUAUGCCACCUCACCAUCUGCUUAUCCUUUAUUCCAUCACACAUUGUCCUAAUUGGUUUCUUCCUAACAUCUAGGACAUACUUGUUGAACACCUCAGAUAAAUUGUUAACUACAAGGUCAGUCUUGCAGUUUGUGUCAAAUGCAUGCCUUGCCCAUGUUUUCUUGGGUAUUUGACAAAGCCACUCCCAAGCUUGCUCACACUCAGCUCUAAGGUCAUUCAUUGCAAUGUUAAAUUUGUGUUCACUAUAUGCAUAGGCAGCAUUAUCCAUACACUUUUUCAGAUCUUCCCCCCUAAACCCAGCAUUUUGGAAGUUUGCAUAGAUAUGCCUAAGGCAGAACCUUUGGUUGCACUUAGGAAAGACAGCAUUCACUGCAUUUAGUAGGCCCUGGGACACACAAUUAAACUAGCUAAGCUACUAUCUAGCAAAAAACAACCAUAUAGGAACAAUGACAUAAGAUGCAAGCACAUACCUUUUGUCUAUCUGACAUUAUUGUAUAUGGACCAAACCUUCCCACUUCUCCUCCUAGGCAGAUUUUAAGUUGGUGUAGAAACCAACACCAGUUAGGUGUGUCCUCUUGCCCAACAAUACCAAAUGCUAGUGGGUAUAUAUUGUUGUUGCCAUCUCUACCAGUGGCAGCAAGUAGUUGAGCACCAGUAGUUAACUUAAUGAAGCACCCAUCAACACCUGAGCAAGCAAAUUCAGUAUUAAAAACAUUCAAAUGCAUUUCUAGAUGAAACAAUAUGUAACUAAUGCACAAGGUGAACAAACUAACCAAUGAAUGGUCUGCACCCCUUGAGAAACCCCUCCCUUGCUCCAUUGAUGCAAUAGAACAUAGCAUGGAAUCUUGGACCUGGAUGGGGGAUUUUUUCAGUGGGUGUUAGAGUUACAGUAGUGACUACUACUCUACUCCCAGGGUUUGUAUCCAUCACUGUCUGAGCAUAGUCUUUCAACCUAGGGUAUUGCUUCUUGUGGUCUCCUAGCACAGCAUCAAUAGCUAGGUUCUUUGCCCUAUAUGCCAUUGACUUGGGCACAUCCACACCAUACUUCUCCAUGCAGGCAUCAAUCAAAGUCUGAAUGCCAGUUGUUAGAUCAGAUCUGAACAGUGACUCAUACUUCUGUGCAAGCCACUUGGCACUUACCCUUGUUGUCUCUGUACUAAUAGGGCAAGUGUGCUUAAUUCUCAUCUUCUUAAUUACAAAAGUAGUUUCACCUUUUAUAACUGCUGCCACCAUAAAGAAGUUGCAAUGUUUUUGGUUGCAUUCUACAAUUAUUCUUUGAUCUGAGUUCCUAUGAUAUUUGAAGUUUCUGCCUUGAGUGAUGUGUAAGUUCAACAAAGCCUCUCUGAAUUGAUGUUGAUCCUUGAAACACAUCUGUAGACAUAAUUGCUCAUGUGGUGCCUCCAUUUUCUCAUUGUACCAUUUUCUAGGAGGCCUCUGCUUUGCCCUGCUCUUCCUUUUCUUUGGCAGCACAAAUGCCAAUGGCUCAUAACCAUCAUCAUCAGCCUCCUUCAACAAUCCUUUCUGUUCUUCAUCAGAUGAAGGUUGGAAAUCAGGUUCCUCCUCUUGAACUACACUUGAAUGUGUCCUUGUUGUAGGCCCUUUUCUAACUAGAAGCUUCUGUUUCUUCUUCUUCUUCUCUUCAUGUACAAUUACAGUUUCUUCAUCCUGUGAAACAACCUUGUCAUCUUCAUCCAUUUCAAAAGGUUCCUCAACCUCUGUGUCACCAGAGUAAUGCACCAUUUCUUCCUCCUCAGAUUCUUCAUCAUCUGUUUCUUCCUCUUCUACUUCAUCAUACUCUCUCUGUUUCUUUCCCUCAUCCAUCUCUAUGUCAUCAGCAUCACCCAUAUAAAAAGGGUUUACAUCACUGUCAUCUUCACCUUCACAAUCAGAACCACCACUGCCAUCAUAUCCCUCUUCUUCUUCUAUUUCCAAAACAGCUUUCAGUUUUCCUUUUACAUUCUUGCUCUCUUGUGUGCAAACACCAGUACCAUGAGCUACUAAACUGCAGCUGCUACUCUGACUUUCAAAGGCAACUCCUUCUUCAUCAACAGCAUAGAUAGGUGGCUCACUGAGAUCAUAUAACACAACAGUGGAUAAUUCUUGCCUCUGAAACUUGCUGCAAGGAGGUGGACAUGCCCUCACUAGCAAAUUUAAAACCUUACACUCCUCAACCUGCCUCUUUACUAGUUGCAACUCAGCAUUACUCUCUACCAUCUCCAAUCUUUUCUCCCCUAAAUCUGGAUUCUCAAUGUGAAACAGCAGAUCAUAUUCACUAAAUCCUUGGGUUUCCAUCACUGCAAUCAUAUUCAGGUAUGUUACAUCUGAACUGCAGAGCUUCAGCUCUAACAUUUCUGAAGCAUCAAAAAAGAACCUAACAUCCAAAAUGUCAUCAUACAAACUGCAAAAUGAAAUAACAGACAAAAUUGGUUAAUAAACAAUUUUACUUAACAUACUGUCUAACAUAUAAACAAAGAUUUGUUUCAGUUAACAUAUAAACAAGUUAACAUAUAAACAGAGUUUUGUUUAGGUUAACAUAUACACAAGUUAACAUAUAAACAGAGCUUACUGCACUAGUUAGGCCUAGCAAUUAACAUAUAAACAGCAGUUAACAUAUACCACUCUGCUCUAGUUAGGCCUAGCAAUUGCACUCUGCUCUAGUUAGGCAGUAGUUAGGCACUAGUUAGGCCUAGCAACUGCAUUACUGUUGAGGAGUGUAUUUACCACUCUGCUCUAGUUAGGCCUAGCAAUUAGAGUGCUAAACAUGCAGGCAGUACACUCUAACCCUAAUCCCCAAUUUCAGUGAGCAAGAAUGGAUCAAGAAUGGAACAAUGGAGCACUUACAGAACACCACCGAAGCCAUGAGUCCAGUGAUGGGCGGUGCUAGGGUUGUCCACCCAAAUUCGCGCCAUCCGCAGCCUCUGCUCCAUCGACAACGCCGGCUCCGCAAAAUCUUCCUCCGCGCUACUGUACUCUGAGCUGGAGUAGCCGCCACUGCCAUCGAAGCGGGGGAGGUCGCCGCCGCUCGCAUCGCCCAGGCCAUCGCCGCCUGCCGGAGUCGCCGAGGCCAUCGUCGCCUAGGGCACAGCAGCCGCGGGGGAGAGGAGGGCACAGCGUUCGCGGGGGAGAGGAAGGCACAGCGGCCGCGGGGGAGAGGAGGGCACAGCGGCCGCGGGGGAGAGGAGGGCACAACGGCCGCGGGGGAGAGGAGGGCACAGCAGCCGCGGGGGAGAGGACGGAGGUGACAGCGCCUGAGCUGUUCGAUCGAUGGCUACGGCGGCGUGGUGCGCCGGCGGCGGGGCGGGCGGGGAGGCAGCCGCUGGCGAGGUGCGAGGAAAAGGACAGGGCAGAGCGGGGUCGGGGUCGGUCGCACCAACGGGCUCGGUCGCACCAACGGGCCGAGCCGGCCUCGUCCGAGUCAGCGCGCAGCCAGCGCAGGCGACGCGCGCACUGGCCAGCGUGGCGCCUGACGGGCGGGCCCAACCGGCCAGUUUCCCUGUCAAUACGUAUAAACAUCACUUUUAGCCUCUUUUGCAACGUCUCGCCUCAAAGUUGGUACUGACACGUAAAAAUUACCAAUCUUGGUAUCAAUCUGCUUCCAAUGCCCCAAUUGUGGUACUUAUGUGCAAUUUACUCGCUGGUGUCGCGUCGCGUGGGCGGGACCGAGCAAAGCUGUCGUUGGACCGUGCGUCCGCGUCCGGAACGUGGAGGGAUCUCUCUCGAUCAUCUCUUUUUUCUUUGUCAUGCUUCAAAAUCUCUCUCUUCUUACUUUUUUUUAAAACAACUUGAAACUUUAUUAAUUAGAAAUAAUUGUUACAUCGUCUAUCAAGAGAGUUACAAGAUCUUCCAUGGGCUCCUUUAUCCAAUCUCUAGUCAUGAACCUUUUACUAAUCUAGCAAGCUCAUGAGCUAAUUUAUUCGCUUCUCUGUUACAAUGUUUAAAACUAGUUUGAGGAAAAUCACAGGCCAUAGAAAAACAAUCCUCAAAAAUUGCAGCAGUCGGUCCCGCAGACUGUCCUCCGUUCUUCAUUGUGUCGAUGACCUCCAUAUUAUCAGAAUUGAUGAUUAGACGAUUGCAGCCCGUCUUUUGUGCCAACAGUAACUGAGUGCUACUGCCUCUGCUGUCAGGGCAUCCGCACAGUACUGAAUCCUCCAGUUACCACCUACUACGAAGUUUCCUUUGUCAUUUCUGAUAACAGCACCCGCUGUGCCUCUUAGCUGAUCAUGAUCAAAAGAAGCAUCCACAUUCAAUUUAACGAAACCCCUAGGAGGUCUGCACCAUCCUUCAUUCUUUCUCUUUGCUUUAGGAGAGUGGGCAUUUACAUAGUUCGAUGUUAUAGCCCGAAUCCCCAUCGAGGUUUGGGACGCCUCUUGAGACUUACCCUCAUGGACUAGUUUCCGUCUAUUCCAUCAUAAAUACCAAGCAGCUAUAGCAAUAAGUUCCCCUGCAUUCUGGGAGCCCAAGAUGGGUAGUUCAUGACCAGGCAUAAGGAGUAGGAAUUCAAGGACUGCCUCUCCUGCACGAUCAACGACGCAGGCUUUUUUUACCACUUCAUACAACCCCAAAUGUUCCCACACUUCUUUUGUCUUCUCGCACAGAAAUAAUAUAUGUUUCGUGUCCUCUGGCCCGUCCAAACAUGUUGGGCAUAUUAGCUGAGUUUUUAUAUGUCUGUUGGCCAAUGUAACACGACACGGCAGAGUCCAGUGAAGCGUCCGCCAAAUAAUUUUUUUAACCUUCGCCGGACAAGCUAAUUUCCAGAUCUUACCCCAAAUAGGAUUGACCUUGCUUCUACCCAUGCCAUUCGAGUAUUCCAACUUCCUCCCAUGUUGCUUAUUCCAUUCCUCCACAUAAGUUGACCGUACAGUGAAUAAACCGUUUGUUGUAUAGCUCCACGCAAUAAAGUCUGACAUAUUAUGCAUAGGGAUUGGGAUCGCUAGGACUCUAGGGGCAUCAAUUGGCCAUAGAGUUUGUCUCACCAAAUCUUCAUCCCAGCCAUUAGUGACUGGGUUAAUAAGAUCAGAAACUUUCGUCAAUAGAUUCCCCCUUCUAGGUGUAAUAAUUUUCCUGUCUGCACAAUUUGGGAUCCAUGCAUCUCUCCAUAUGUCAAUAUUUCUCCUGUUCCCACUCUCCAUAUAUAGCCAUUCUUGAGAGAGUCCACUCCCGCCAUAAUGCUUUGCCAAGUAAAGUGUAACGCACACGAUGCGGCUAUAUCUCCCACGUGUCGAGGCACGACUUAGAGGCAUAACUGCAUUGUGGUUCUGUCGCAAGAAGGGUCAUCUUCACACAAUCCCAUGUAAUGAACAAGAAUGGGAUAAAGAGUUGGCUUACAAUCGCCACUUCACACAAUACAUAAAUAAAUCAUACAUCAAUCAGAGUACACACAUAGACCGACUACGGGCAAAUCCAGAUAAAAAGAAGAUAACCCCAAAUGCUAGAUCCCCGAUCGUCCCCAACUGGGCACCACUACUGAUCAACAUGAAAAGAAACAUAGUAAUGACCAGGGUCUUCAUCGAACUUCCACUUGAGCUCGGUUGCAUCACCUGCACUGGUAUCGUCGGCACCUGCAACUGUUUUGGAAGUAUCUGUGAGUCACGAGGACUCAGCAAUCUCACACCCGCGAGAUCAAGACUAUUUAAGCUUAUAGGAAGGAUGGGGUGAUGAGGUGGAGUUGCAGCAAGCACUAAGCAUAUAUGGUGGCUAACAUACGCAAAUAGGAGCGAGAAAAGAAGCAACGGAACGGUCGUGAAGCUAGAAGUGAUCAAGAAGUGAUCCUGAAACUACUUACGCACAACCAUAACACAAGAACCGUGUUCACUUCCCGGACUCCGCCGAGAAGAGACCAUCACGGCUACACACGCAGUUGAUGUAUUUUUAAUUAAUUCAAGUGUCAAGUUCUCUAUAACCGGACAUUAACAAACUCCCAUCUGCCACAUAACCGCGGGCACGGCUUUCGAAAGAUAAUACCCUGCAGGGGUGUCCCAACUUAGCCCAUUAUAAGCUCUCACGGUCAACGAAGGAUAUUCCUUCUCCCAGGAAGACCCGAUCAGUCUCGGAAUCCCAGUUUACAAGACAUUUCGACAAUGGUAAAACAAGACCAGCAAAGCCGCCCGAUGUGUCGACAAUCCCGAUAGGAGUCGCACGUACCUCGUUCUCAGGACACACCGGAUGAACACUACGUACAACUAAAACCAGCCCUCAAGUUUCCCCGAGGUGGCGCUGCAAGUGGCUCUAGUUUGGACCAACACUCCGAGGAGCACUGGCCCGGGGGGGUAAAAUAAGAUGACCCUUGAGUCUGCAGAACCCAAGGGAAAAAGGCUUAGGUAGGCAAAUGGUAAAACCAAGGCUGGGCCUUGCUGGAGGAGUUUUAUUCAAAGCGAACUGUCAAGGGGGUCCCAUAAAUCACCCAACCGUGUAAGGAACGGAAAAUCAAGGAACAUAACACCGGUAUGACGGAAACUAGGGCGGCAAGAGUGGAACAAAACACCAGGCAUAAGGCCGAGCCUUCCACCCUUUACCAAGUAUAUAGAUGCAUUAAUUAAAUAAGAGAUAUUGUGAUAUCCCAACAAAACAUAAUCCAACAUGGAGCAAUCUUCAUCUCCACCUGCAACUAGCAACGCUAUAAGAGGGGCUGAGCAAACGCGGUAACAUAGCCAAACAACGGUUUGCUGGGAAGGGUGACAAAGGUUAGAGGUUCGUGGCAAUUUGGGAGGCUUGAUAAGCAAGUGGUAGGUAACGCGGCAUAGCAAUAGAACGGACAACUAGCAAGCAAAGAUAGAAGUGAUUUCGAGGGUAUGGUCAUCUUGCCUAAAAUCCUCACAACUCCGGAACGAAACCGAAGCUAACGAGAGAAGCAACCCGGAAAGAAACAAACAACAUAGUAAACAACCAUCACAUAAACAUGGCAUGAUGCACAAACAAGUAUGAUGCAUGUCCGGUUUAAAUAUGCAUGGCAUGGCAAAGUGCACAAACAAUACUACAAAUUAAGUGAAGCUCAAUAUGCAACAAGUUGCAUAUUGAAGAAACACCACAUCAAUUAUUUAGUUUUCUCUCGUUUAUGUACCCAACAAUAUUAAAUGUUGUUAAACAUGGCAAGGGGUGAAGCAUAUUAAACUAACUAUUUAGGCAAGUUUAAAUGAGGCCGGAACAACAAACAACAAUUCUGGAAAAUCCUCAUGUGCAUAUUUUAGAUUUGGUACUGUUCUGCCUAAAACAUAUUUUUAAUGUUGUUAAACAGUAAAACAAAGUGCACCAUUUUUCUACCCCAUUUACAUAUAAAGUUUAUUAAAUUCGAAGCUACGGUUAUUUAGUUAUGAAAUAAAUCAUUUUAACAUGGCAUUUAUACAAGAUUAAACAAACAGCAUUUUAACCAUGGAUGAAAGUUGCAUAUUAUGAAACUAGAUGAAAUUCUGAGCAUUUUACAUAUAUAAAUUAUUUACAUAUGAUGCAUGGUUUAUUAGUUAUUAGAUGCAAGAACACUAGGGGUUUUUCUGUAAACUGCACUCUCUGGAAUAAAUAGCUAAAACGUCCAGAACGAAAAAAAACGAUGCGGGCCGAAUCUGGAGCACUGCUGGGCUGAAUCUGGAACAGAGCAGCGGCUGGGAGGCUCACCAUGGGCUCUUGGCCCGGUCGGCUUGGAGAGGGAGGCUGGAAGGGGGGCGCUGGGCCUGCUUGCUGGUGGCCCACGCGGCCGCUGAAGCUGGGCCAGGGGCGCUGGCUACGGUCAAUGCGGCAGGGGCAAGCGGCGUCCUCUGCACAACAGGGAGCAGAGCCGCGGCGGCACGGCUGCUCGCCGGAGACGAUGGCAGGGAGGCAGAGACGACGGAUCUGGACGGAGGGGGCCGGAUGCAGAUGAAGAAGCUCCAGGCAGAGAAGGUUCCAUGGGGCGGCGGCAUCCUUGUUCGUCCCUAAGAGAGAGAGAGUGAUUGAGAGAGAGAAAAACAGAGGAGGACCGGAGGACAGAGAGGAAGGGUCGGCGACUUGCGGGGCUCCGACGGCGCGGUCAACGGGCAGGAGAGGCGGGGUCGAGGUGCUUGUCCUCCUCUGCACUGCUUCGAUGCAGAGAAACAUGAGGCAGAGGCGAGGCGGGCAUGGCGCGGCGGAGCUUGGGCCCUGGGAUGCUGGCGAGGUGGCCAUCCGGGAACAACGCGGGGAAAAGGGGACACAGGGCUGGAGCAGGGGCACCGGCAGCUUCAUCCCGUCGGGUGCAUCGGCGACCUGGUGGCGUUGCUGCUUGCCGGCGUCGCGCCGGGCGCACGGGACAGGCGCGGGGAGGACGGGGCUCCGCUGGGAUGAGGGAGGAGGCGCACGACUGCUAGUGGCGUUAGUGCUCCUGCGGGCGUUCAUGGCGACGGGCAGAGGAGCUCGGGCUCCUGCAGGAUUUGGGCGGCGGUGGUGAUUGGACAGGUGGGAAAAACGAGGAGAAGGUGGAGGCUGUGGUUGUAUGGAUCGGGAGGGGAUCCCGAUGUGGAGAGGACAAGGGGAGUGGCGGCGCGAUGGAUGGAGUGGAUGGAUGGGACAGGAGGCCUAAAAACUAGGGUUGCCCGCUAUAUAUACCGAGUGGAUUUGAAUAGGGGUCGUUCGGGUCCCUCCGAUCAUAAUCGGACGGCCCGAAAUAAAUAGAUUAGGGAGACCGAAAGAGAAACCAAAAAUGUUAUAUAGACUCUUGGAGAUGAUCCGGACCCAUCGGUAGCGAUAGUCCGGGUCGGGUUCGGGGGCAAGUUUUGGACGCGCGCGAGGGGUGGUCUGAGGGGGUCGACAAAGACAAAGUGUCUAACAAAAGGCCCCGGAGAAGACAAGAGAGAAAACGAGGAGCAACGUUGCAAGUGUGGUUGGUCUCGAAACGGUCAACGAAAGCAAGGGGGGACGCGGCAACUACGAGCGGAUGCAAGUUUUUAAAAACAAUGACGGCAACGAGUGCUGAUGCAAUGCGGAUGAUGCCAUGAUGAAAUGCAACCAACAAAAAUAAAACACACGGCGAACAUGAAAUAUAUGGAAGUCUUCAGAAGCGUCGGUGUCGGGGCGUUACAACACUCCACCACUACAAGAGGAUCUCGUCCCGAGAUCUAGGAUGGCACCGGAGAGAAGCAGAAAAGAAAAAGAAGAGGUAAAUCUAAGUUGCUUCUUGUACAAACAAGUGAAACCACGAACCUUGGAAGUUGAACAAUUUCGAGAAAAUAAUACAACGAAGAUGAACAAAGUUGAAAACACUCCGCUAGAAAAGUGAAACAAGGAACAUUAUGAGAACCUUGUAGGUUGAAAGACAAACAAAAAUGGUUAUGAUGGACAAGAAGUACAUGCAAGCACUCUGGUUGCAACAAGAUGUACAAGGAACGAUAAGGAAAAAUUACGACAACACUCCGGUUGAAAAUGGAAUGGAUAGAAUAUGAACUUGGCAAAAUGAAAGCACUUGGAUGAGACUCCGGUUAAAAGAGGAAUGGUAGACACAACACUCCGGUUAAAUGGAUUAGCAAGGAAAAGAACACGAUCUCCAAAAUGAGAUGAUGGGCGAAUAUAACAACAUCCCAAAGCCUCUGGAAUGAAAGGAUAGAAGCUAGAUUGUUGUAAAUAAAGAAGGGAGAAACAACUGACAGUUUCUAUCACACUUGAAUUUGAAAAGCAUCCUUACAAAGAAGAGUUGAACGGAGUUGUUGGAAAACCAACAACGAAAAGAAUAAGCUUGUAGUGGGCUUAUGGAAAUAUUUCAACAUUAUGAGGUGACAAACGGCCACUAAAGGAAGCCAUUGGUUUGAGUGAGAGCACCAAGGCAAUGAAAAACUUCUUUCACCAAGAGGAUAGGAGAACACUUGGAUCAUUGAUAAGCACCAUAAUAGCAACAUUCCUUAGGAAAGGCUUUAGGUGAAACAUGACACAAGAUAAAAGAAAGAGAAGUUGACAACACAAGGUGAAGCCUUGCAAUGAUUUGGGUGGAGCUUUGAAAUGAUAUCACCGAGAAAACUUGGAACUCCGGAAAGAAAAUGAACAAAUGAGAUCAAGAAUUUUGAUGAAUCUCCGGAAUAAGGAAUUAAUCACUUGGAUGAAACAAGAACAAGAAUUAUGUUAUGCGUAUCCUUCACCAAUUUAGAUUGAUGACAACCACCGGAUUUGGCAUACUACUUAUUCUCAUAGAAAGGAUUGAGAGAGAUAUAGCGUAAGCUUGAGAAGGUCUUCAACGAACCACCAGUAGGAUUGAAACAACGAUUAAAUUGAUAUGAUAACGAAGGAAGAGAAAUCUUGAAGAACCACCGCGAGAAUUGAAAACAAUUGAAGAAAAUAGGACGAAACACCGUAAGAAUUAAAGAACACGCGAAAAUACUUGAGGGAAUUUAGAUACAUGAGAACGAAUAGAUCACGAGCUGACUAGAGGAUACUUGAACGAUGCACCGGGAGAAUAUGGAGAUGAACGAAGAGACAUCAAUUUAGAAUAGUUGGAGAACGAAGCUGAAAACUUAGAACGAAAAAAAUCUUCUGAAAUGAUGGCCUUGGAUGAUCAAGAAAUGAAAACAACUGUGAAAUGCUCCGGAUGGGUAAGAAAAGAGUUGCGCGAUUGGAAACAAUUUGAGAGGAUGGCAACAAGUUAGAACCAUGAAUCUUCAAGAGAACGGACCAAGAUUCAAGAGAAAUUCUUCUUCGUUCUUCAAAUGUUGAGAAUGAUGACGAGAAACACCACCAUGAAUUUUUAGGCACUCCGGAAUGAAAAUUAGAAAGGUUGAACCAACGAUGAAAAGAAUUUGAAAGAUCUUGGAGAAAGACAUAUGACUGAUGAUAACCCAUUCUUACGUCAAACUUUGAAAAUAAUUUUUAGAAGCUCCGGGAAAAUUAGAAGAGUCAGGUAAGAUCCUGGGAAAAGACCUGUGGGUUAGGGCCCACUCAAGAGAAACAACGUUGAACAAUUUAAAAGAGAGAUUGCGCCGGUUGAAUUAAAUGGCUUGAAUGAGAUAACAACCUCGAAAUAGCUUGAACAGAUCUUGAAUGAAAACACGAAUCUCCUGAGAUAUCUUCAACACUUCGGAACACAUGGAAAGCGAAAGGUGAAUGAUUAAGAGGUGCACCGGCAUGAGAAAAACAUUUGAAACAAGGAAAGGAAUGUGACCAACAUUGAAGGCUUGAAUUUAGUCCACCGGAGAAGAAAAAAGAGCGAAGAAUGAUAAAUUUGAAGCUCCGUUAGUAUCGUCCUGAGAAUCACCGGAUAUGAACAUUGACGGAAAAGAAUGGAGAGACUUCGCAUCAAUAAAAUGAUACUUGAUUAAGAAAUCUGAAUCCUUGAAUAAAAGGGUGGGAGGGCGGGAAAAACAAAGACAACUUGGGACGGAUGAAGCAAACACCGUUGCAAAGAACUGAGAAUUGAUCUAGCGAAUGUUGAAAUGAUCGGAUCCACUUGAAAAAGACCACGUCGGUUGGAAAGAAUUGGCAUGACAAUCUCGAUGAUCAAGAAGGAUUGGUAUUCACAUAGAAGUAUGAGAACACCACUUAGGAAGGGUAUGGAAUCAACACUUGACUUCGAAGCAACUCGAAUACCACAAAUUAAAACAAAACAAAGGAUUUGGCUUGCAGAAUAAGCCGGAACAAACAUAUGAUAGAGAUUUCGUCCGAAGUUUUCGUGGUGGGACCCACACGGGCUCGAUCGUACAACACCAUCAUGUACAAGGCAGUGCACAUGGCAUACGAAGCGUCCCCGAGUCGGCAUAGCCAAGGACUCUUUAAGACACUACGAGACCACUGUAAAACCAACCAUGGAAAGCCGGACCACUAGACGUCGAACCCCAAUCUCAUAUCAUGCAUCUGUCGGAAAGAUAUCCUAGGAGCUACUUGAAUUCCCACUUAUAAACUCCCGAAACUUUCUGGUUUUUCCAUCUGUUGUUGGGGAUACAGGGGACGCAAUAUAUCUCACCCAAACUAAAAUACCUAGAUCCAGCUGUAUCCAUCCUUCAACACAUAACCAAGAAAACUCCGGAAAUCAUUUACCUCAACCUUCGAAAAGCAUCCGUUAUACGAGUUAUGUCAAUACUCCCGAACUCCCGCCCCAGUACUGGGUGGCGUCGAGGUGAUCUCACCAACAACUGCAUAAAAGAGAUUUUCGAUGUCGGCGAAACUCAGGUAUUCCAGAACUGCAACGAUAAAAUUGUGACGACAACACCUCGGAGCUCAACUCCCCGGGACACUGCCACAACCCCUAAAUGUCAGGAGGCACCAAGAACAAUGUUCUUGUCACAAAACCAUCGGAACGAUUCCAAGAUACCCGCAUGAUCCUAAUUUUUUUUAGUGAAAUUUGAGGAGAGGAAAGGCAAAACAUCUACGUCAGGAGACCUCACCAGAGCGAUGAAGGGACUGUGGAGUAAAAAGAAUCCUACUCUCCGAUAUAUAUAAUCCUAAGACUCAAAACAAUUUUUGUUCUAGACUCAACAACAUCAGCGAUUCGAUCAAGCAGGGGGCUCCUAAGUCGGGGAUGGCUCUGAUUACCAACUUGUAACGCACACGAUGCGGCUAUAUCUCCCACGUGUCAAGGCACGACUUAGAGGCAUAACCGCAUUGUGGUUUUGUCGCAAGAAGGGUCAUCUUCACACAAUCCCAUGUAAUGAACAAGAAUGGGAUAAAGAGUUGGCUUACAAUCGCCACUUCACACAAUACAUAAAUAAAUCAUACAUCAAUCAGAGUACACACAUAGACCGACUACGGUCAAAUCCAGAUAAAAAGAAGAUAACCCCAAAUGGUAGAUCCCCGAUCGUCCCCAACUGGGCACCACUACUGAUCAACAUGAAAAGAAACAUAGUAACGACCAGGGUCUUCAUCGAACUUCCACCUGAGCUCGGUUGCAUCACCUGCACUGGUAUCGUCGGCACCUGCAACUGUUUUGGAAGUAUCUGUGAGUCACGAGGACUCAGCAAUCUCACACCCGCGAGAUCAAGACUAUUUAAGCUUAUUGGAAGGAUGGGGUGAUGAGGUGGAGCUGCAGCAAGCACUAAGCAUAUAUGGUGGCUAACAUACGCAAAUAAGAGCGAGAAAAGAAGCAACGGAACGGUCGUGAAGCUAGAAGUGAUCCUGAAACUACUUAUGCACAACCAUAACACAAGAACCGUGUUCACUUCCCGGACUCCGCCGAGAAGAGACCAUCACGGCUACACACGCGGUUGAUGUAUUUUUAAUUAAUUCAAGUGUCAAGUUCUCUAUAACCGGACAUUAACAAACUCCCAUCUGCCACAUAACCGCGGGCACGGCUUUCGAAAGAUAAUACCCUGCAGGGGUGUCCCAACUUAGCCCAUUAUAAGCUCUCGCGGUCAACAAAGGAUAUUCCUUCUCCCAGGAAGACCCGAUCAGUCUCGGAAUCCCAGUUUACAAGACAUUUCGACAAUGGUAAAACAAGACCAGCAAAGCCGCCCGAUGUGUCGACAAUCCCGAUAGGAGUCGCACGUACCUCGUUCUCAGGACACACCGGAUGAACACUACGUACAACUAAAACCAGCCCUCAAGUUUCCCCGAGGUGGCGCUGCAAGUGGCUCUAGUUUGGACCAACACUCCGAGGAGCACUGGCCCGGGGGGGGGGGGUAAAAUAAGAUGACCCUUGAGUCUGCUGAACCCAAGGGAAAAAGGCUUAGGUAGGCAAAUGGUAAAACCAAGGUUGGGCCUUGCUGGAGGAGUUUUAUUCAAAGCGAACUGUCAAGGGGGUCCCAUAAAUCACCCAACCGUGUAAGGAACGCAAAAUCAAGGAACAUAACACCGGUAUGACGGAAACUAGGGCGGCAAGAGUGGAACAAAACACCAGGCAUAAGGCCGAGCCUUCCACCCUUUACCAAGUAUAUAGAUGCAUUAAUUAAAUAAGAGAUAUUGUGAUAUCCCAACAAAACAUAAUCCAACAUGGAGCAAUCUUCAUCUCCACCUGCAACUAGCAACGCUAUAAGAGGGGCUGAGCAAACGCGGUAACAUAGCCAAACAACGGUUUGCUGGGAAGGGUGACAAAGGUUAGAGGUUCGUGGCAAUUUGGGAGGCUUGAUAAGCAAGUGGUAGGUAACGCGGCAUAGCAAUAGAAUGGACAACUAGCAAGCAAAGAUAGAAGUGAUUUCGAGGGUAUGGUCAUCUUGCGUGAAAUCCCGCUAGGAAGAAGAACGGGUCGAUGAAGAAGACAAACGGACGUAGUCGAACGAAUCCUCACAACUCCGGAAUGAAACCGAAGCUAACGAGAGAAGCAACCCGGAAAGAAACAAACAACAUAGUAAACAACCAUCACACUAACAUGGCAUGAUGCACAAACAAGUAUGAUGCAUGUCCGGUUUAAAUAUGCAUGGCAUGGCAAAGUGCACAAACAAUACUACAAAUUAAGUGAAGCUCAAUAUGCAACAAGUUGCAUAUUGAAGAAACACCACAUCAAUUAUUUAGUUUUCUCUCGUUUAUGUACCCAACAAUAUUAAGUGUUGUUAAACAUGGCAAGGGGUGAAGCAUAAGUAAACUAACUAUUUAGGCAAGUUUAAAUGAGGCCGGAACAACAAACAACAAUUCCGGAAAAUCCUCAUGUGCAUAUUUUAGAUUUGGUACUGUUCUGCCUAAAACAUAUUUUUAAUGUUGUUAAACAGUAAAACAAAGUGCACCAUGUUAAUCUAUGCAUUUUUCUACCCCAUUUACAUAUAAAGUUUAUUAAAUUCGGAGCUACGGUUAUUUAGUUAUGAAAUAAAUCAUUUUAACAUGGCAUUUAUACAAGAUUAAACAAACAGCAUUUUAAACAUUUUAAACAUGGAUGAAAGUUGCAUAUUAUGAAACUAGAUGAAAUUCUGAGCAUUUUACAUAUAUAAAUUAUUUACAUAUGAUGCAUGGUUUAUUAGUUAUUAGAUGCAAGAACACUAGGGUUUUUUUUUGUAAAACUGCACUCUCUGGAAUAAAUAGCUAAAACGUCCAGAACAAAAAAAAACGAUGCGGGCCGAAUCUGGAGCACUGCUGGGCUGAAUCUGGAACAGGGCAGCGGCUGGGAGGCUCACCAUGGGCUCUUGGCCCGGUCGGCUUGGAGAGGGAGGCUGGAAGGGGGGCGCUGGGCCUGCUUGCUGGUGGCCCACGCGGCCGCUGAAGCUGGGCCAGGGGCGCUGGCUACGGUCAACGUGGCAGGGACAAGCGGCGUCCUCUGCACGACAGGGAGCAGAGCCGCGGCGACACGGCUGCUCGCCGGAGACGAUGGCAGGGAGGCGGAGACGGCGGAUCUGGACGGAGGGGGCCGGAUGCAGAUGAAGAAGCUCCAGGCAGAGAAGGUUCCAUGGGGCGGCGCCAUCCUUGUUCGUCCCUAAGAGAGAGAGAGAGCGAUUGAGAGAGAGAAAAAUAGAGGAGGACCGAAGGACAGAGAGGAAGGGUCGGCGACCUGCGGGGCUCCGGCGGCGCGGUCAACGGGCAGGAGAGGCGGGGUCGAGGUGCUUGUCCUUCUCUGCACUACUUCGAUGCAGAAAAACAGGAGGCAGAGGUGAGACGGGCAUGGCGUGGCGGAGCUCGGGCCCUGGGAUGCUGGCGAGGUGGCCAUCCGGGAACAACGCGGGGAAAAGGGGACGCAGGGCUGGAGCAGGGGCACCGGCAGCUUCAUCCCGUCGGGUGCAUCGGCGACUUGGUGGCGUUGCUGCUUGCCGGCGUCGCGCCGGGCGCACGGGACAGGCGCGGGGAGGACGGGGCUCCGCUGGGAUGAGGGAGGAGGCGCACGGCUGCUGGUGGCGUUGGUGCUCCUGCGGGCGUUCAUGGCGACGGGCAGAGGAGCUCGGGCUCCUGCAGGAUUUGGGCGGCGGUGGUGAUUGGACAGGAGGGGAAAACGAGGAGAAGGUGGAGGUUGUGGUUGGAUGGAUCGGGAGGGGAUCCCGAUGUGGAGAGGACAAGGGGGGUGGCGGCGCGAUGGAUGGAAUGGAUGGAUGGGACAGGAGGCCUAAAAACUAGGGUUGCCCGCUAUAUAUACCGAGUGGAUUUGAAUAGGGGUCGUUCGGGUCCCUCCGAUCAUAAUCGGACGGCCCGAAAUAAAUAGAUUAGGGAGACCGAAAGAGAAACUGAAAAUGUUUUUGUAACGCCCACGAUGCGGCUAUAUCUCCCACGUGUCGAGGCACGACUUAGAGGCAUAACCGCAUCGUGGUUUGUCACAAGAAGGGUCAUCUUCACACAAUCCCAUGUAAUGAACAAGAAUGGGAUAAAGAGUUGGCUUACAAUCGCCACUUCACACAAUACAUAAAUAAAAUCAUACAUCAUUCAAGAUACACACAUAGGUCCGACUACGGAACCAAAAUAAAAGAAGACAACCCAACUGCUAGAUCCCCGAUCGUCCCAACUGGGCACCACUACUGAUCAAUAUGAAAAGAAACAACACAUCGAACAAGAUCUUCAUCGAGCUCCCACUUGAGCUCAGUUGCGUCACCUGCACUGGUCUCAUCGGCACCUACAACUAUUUGGAAGUAUCUGUGAGUCACGAGGACUCAGCAAUCUCACACCCGCGAGAUCAAGACUAUUCAGGCUUAAGGGUAGGAAAGGGGAAGGUGGUGAGGUUGCAGCAGCGACUAAGCAUAUAUGGUGGCUAACAUACGCAAAUAAGAGCGAGAAGAGGAGCAACGGAACGGUCGUCAACUAGUAAUGAUCAAGAAGUGAUCUUGAACUCCUACUUACGUCAAACAUAACCCAGAAACCGUGUUCACUUCCCGGACUCCGCCGAGAAGAGACCAUCACGGCUACACACGCGGUUGAUGCUUUUUAAUUAAGUCGAGUGUCAAGUUCUCUACAACCGGAUAUUAACAAAUUCCCAUCUGCCACAUAACCGUGGGCACGGCUUUCGAAAGAUAAUACCCUGCAGGGGUGUCCCAACUUAGCCCAUUAUAAGCUCUCACGGUCAACGAAGGAUAAACCUUCUCCCAGGAAGACCCGAUCAGUCUCGGAAUCCCAGUUUACAAGACAUUUCGACAAUGGUAAAACAAGACCAGCAAAGCCGCCCGGAUGUGCCGACAAAUCCCGAUAGGAGCUGCACAUAUCUCGUUCUCAGGGCACACCGGAUGAGCAAGACGUCGGGUUGGCAUAGACCCUGGUUGCCCAGGGGGCGCCGGACAUCGCUCGGUUUGGACCAGCACUCGAAGGAGAACUGGCCCGGGGGUAAAUAAAGAUGACCCUUGAGUCUGCAGAACCCAAGGGAAAAAGGCUUAGGUAGGCAAAUGGUAAAACCAAGGUUGGGCCUUGCUGGAGGAGUUUUAUUCAAGGCGAACUGUCAAGGGGGUCCCAUAAAUCACCCAACCGCGUAAGGAACGCAAAAUCAAGGAACAUAACACCGGUAUGACGGAAACUAGGGCGGCAAGAGUGGAACAAAACACCAGACAUAAGGCCGAGCCUUCCACCCAUUACCAAGUAUAUAGAUGCAUUAAUUAAAUAAGAGGUAUUGUGAUACCCCAACAAAGUUCAUAAUAUCCAUGUUCCAACAAGGAACAAACUCCAUCUUCACCUGCAACUAACAACGCUAUAAGAGGGGCUGAGCAAACGCGGUAACAUAGCCAAACAACGGUUUGCUAGGAAGGGUGAGAAAUGUUAGAGGUUCAUGGCAAUUUGGGAGGCUUGAAAAGCAAGUGGUAGGUAGCGUGGCAUAGCAAUAGAGCGAACAGCUAGCAAGCAAAGAUAGAAGUGAUUUCGAGGGUAUGGUCAUCUUGCCUGAGAUCCCGCAAGGAAGAAGAACGAGUCCACGAAGUAGACAAGCGGACGUAGUUGAAUGAAUCCUCACAACUCCGGAACGAAACCGAAGCUAACGAGAGAAGCAAACCGGAAAGAAGCAAACAACAUAGUAAACAACCACCACAUAAACAUGGCAUGAAGCACAAUCAAGUAUGAUGCAUGUCCGGUUUAAUGAGGCAUGGCAUGGCAAAGCGCACAAACAAAACUACAAGUUAAGUGGAGCUCAAUAUGCAACGAGUUGCAUAUUGACGAAACACCACAUUUAAUUAUUUAGUUCUCUCUCGUUUAUGGACCCAACAAUGUUAAAUGUUAUUAACCAUGGCAAGAGGUGAAGCAUAUGGAAACUACCUAUUUUAGGCAAUUUAAAUGAGGCCGGAACAACAAACAACAAUUCCGGAAAACCUCAUAUGCAUAUUUUGAAUUUGGUACUGUUCUGCCAUAAACGCAAUUUUAAUGUUGUUAAACAGCAAAAUGAAGUGCACCAUGUUAAACUAGGCAUUUUUCUACCCCAUUUACAUAUAAAGUUUAUUAAAAUCCGAGUUACGGUUAUCUAGUUAUGAAAUAAAUCAUUUUAACAUAUUAUCCGAGCAAAUUUAAUCAAACAACAUUUUAAACAAUUUUAACAUGGGUGAAAGUGGCAUAUUAUUAAACUACACAAAAUUCUAAGCAUUUUACAUAUUUAGUUUGUUUUAAUCCGAUGCACGGUUCGUGAGUUAUUAUAUGCAUGAAGUUCAAGGGUUUUUCUGCAAAUCUGUAAAUCCUGGGAAAAUAGUUAAAAUCGUAGAACCUAAAAAAACCUAUGCGGGCCGAAUCUGCUGCAUGUUGGGCCAACAGAGAGGAGCUGUGGGGAGCUUACCCAUGGGCCAAGGCCCAGUCUGUGGAGGAGGAGGCCGCUAAGCCUGGCGCAGGUGUGACCCAGCCGACGCUCGCGGUCAACGGGCGGGCGAGCGAGCAGCAGAGGAGGCCGAGGCGCCAUGGCAGGGGAACGACGACAGCGGGACUGGAACGAGCACGAGGACGACGCCCACGAGCUCCACGCCACGGCGAAGGGCGGAACUGGACGGACUCGAGGGCAGGGAGGCGGCUUGGCGACGCGGGACUUGGCGAGGCGGAGGGCGCGGGAACACCGGUUCCAUCCGGGAACGAGGCGGGGCGAGCUGGGCGGCCCUGGGAGUUGGUGGAGCGGCGGGGACCCGAGCCAAUCCGGCCGGAGUCGAGGCGAAGGUGCGGCGGGGUUUGAGCCGGAGCAUCCAUGGCGGCCGUUGGCGACGGGAACCUGCGGGAGCUCUGUUUCAACGAGACAGAGAGAGAGAGAGUGAGUGAAACACGAGAGAGAGAGAUGGUGAAGAAAGGGAAGGAGAGCAGGAGAGAGUGCGAGGGAGUCUGUCCUGGUCCUGGUCGGUGCUGCUUCCGAUCCAUCCUGGAUCGAGGCACGGGAGGAGGGAACGAGGCGCAGAUGGCAUCGGGCUCCAGAUCGAUGCGAGGAAGGGCGGCCUUGGAGGAAGAAGGUUGCGAGGAGGCGAGGGCAUCUCCUCGAGGAGAAAGAAGAAGCAGGGCGCGGCGGUGGUCCUGGAGGUCGCCGUCGAGCCGACUGGCCGCGCGAGAAGACGAGGCCGAGCGCUCCUGCUUGGGCCUUGGGAAGAGAGGGGGUGGCGGCUGCUGCACAAAGGCUCGGCGAGGGGUGGAUCGGGAAGGAGGCUGGUUGGGUCGAUGUGGAAAUCGAGGAGGAUUUUUGAGAGGGUGGCGGCGGCUGAUCCGGGGAGGGGAAGGGUGUAGGUGGCGGCGGUAGGGGGGACAAAUGUCCUAGGAUUUAGGGUUUGGUCUAAAAAUGGACACGGAGGUCUAUAUAUAUAACAAGUGAAUUUUUGAUAGGGGCAUUUGGUCCCUCCGAUUAAAAUCGGACGAUCGAGAAAAAUAAGUUAGGAGAGUCCAACAAAGAAAACGGUGAUGUUUUGUAAAUGUUAGGGGAUGAUCCGGGCCCAACGGUCACAACGGUCCGGGUCGGGUUCGGGGAAGUUUUCGGACGCACGCCAGAGGGGGUGGUGGUUGUGCAGAGAGGGACAAACGGUCAGACAAGAGAGAAUCGAAAAAAACCGGUUAGACUCAGAACGGUCAACGAACGCAACAGAGAGAAGCGAGGAGCGGCAACUACGAGCGGAUGCAAGUUUUAAAAACAACGACGGCAACGAGGUGCCGACGCAAUGCGGAUGAUGCGAUGAUGAAUGCAACAAACAAAUAAAUACACACAACGAUAACGAAAAAGAUGGAAGGCGUCUGGAGCAUCGGUCUCGGGGCGUUACAACACUCCACCACUACGAGAGGAUCUCGUCCCGAGAUCUAGGAUGGCACCGGAGAAAAACGGAAGAGGAAGAGAAAAGGUAAAGCUAAGUUGCUUCUUUGAAAAACGAGUGAAACCAAAGAACUUUGAGAGGUCGCAAAGCUUGAAGAAAUGACACGACAGAGGUGAACAAAAUUGAGAAGACUUCGGUAGAAAAGAGAGACAAGGAACACCAUGAGAACCUUGAGGUUAAGUGACACAAUAGAUAUUUAAACCACUCCGGUUAAAACAAGAUAGAGAGGGAAUAAGAAUGAUAUAAUUUAGGCAGCACUCCGACUGUAAAUGGAAGGAAUUGAACAUGAUCUUGACAAGAUGAGAGGAUACUCGAUGAAAUUACCAACACAUUGCCUCCGGUACUAAUGAAAGAAUGACACAAGGGGUAAGAAAGAUUUCAGACAGCACUCCGGUUGAGGAAGGAGACAAAACUUGAUAAGAUGAGAGAACUCGAAUGAAAACACGACACUCCGGCUAAACGGAUAAGAAAGGAAAAAUUACAUGAUCUUGACAAAACAAGAUGAUUGGUCGAAGAGAGCAACAUCACAAAGCCUCCGGAAACAAUGCAUGGUAGUUAGAUAGUUGGAGUGAAUAGAACGAAGAAUGAAACCAACAUCUCCUACCAUAAAUUAAUUUUAAAGAGCCUCCUUACGAAGUAGGAUUGAACGGAGUUGUUGGAAAACCAACAACGAAAAGAACAAGCUUGUUGUGGGCUUAUGGAACACAUCUCAAAAUUAUGAGGUGACAACCCGCCACUACCAGAAACAAUUGCUUGCUUGAGAUCAACGAAGAGAUGAAAACUUCUCUCGCCGAGAGGAUAGGAGAAAACUUGGAUCAUUGAUAAACACCACAAAUAGCUACAUUCCUUAGGGAAGGCUAUAGGUGAAAUAUAACCCAAUACAACUCCACCAAAAAGAUUGAUUGGACGAAAAGAUCUCUUGAACGAAGAGAAAAUGAUGGAUUUAAUUAUCUCAUUCCUGACAACUUGUGAAUCAUGCAACAUGAAGGAAAUAGUCAAGAAUGACAUAACACCACCUCAAAAGAUAAGAGAGAAAGAAUUGCACUUCGGAAUGCAAGAUGGAGAAUGCUUGAACUCCUCAAAACAAACAUGUGUUGAGCACCAUGUUUAUUUUUGAGUAUAGCUUGGCGGAUCAUAACUUCAAGAGAAAUCUUGAAGAACAAUUGAAAAAUGAAAAGAAUCCUUGACGAACCACCAUGUAGAGCCUCCAUGAAGAACUCCGGUAAUAAAAGAAUGAUCAAACGAAAGGGAAAGUUGAAAAGAACUCCGGGAGAAGCCUUGCAAUGAUUUAGAUGGAGCUUUGAAAUGAUAUAAUUGAAAUAACUUGAAGCUCCGGAAAGAAAAGAUGAACAACUGAGAUCAAGCAUUUGAUAUCAUGAACGAACUCCGGAAGAAGGAAUUAAUCACUUGGAGGAAAUAAGAAUAAGAAUUACAUUAUGCUUAGCCUUCACCAAUUUAGAUUAAUGACAAGCAAUGGAUUUGUCAUACUACUUAUUCUCGUAGAAAGGAUUAAGAGAGAUAUAACACAAACUUGAGAAGGUCUUCAUCGAACCACCGGUGGAUUUGGAAACAACGAAUGAAUUGAUAUGAUAACGAGGGAAGAGAAAUCUUGAACGAAACCACCGUAAGAAUUGAAAAUGAAUGAAGAAAAGAGAACGAAUCACCGUAAGAAUUAAAGAGCGCGCGAAAAUACUCGAGUGAAUUUGAUACAUGAGAACGAAUAGAUCACGAGCUGACUAGAGGAUACUUGAACGAUGCACCGGGAGAAUAUGGAGAUGAACGAAGAGACAUCAAUUUAGAAUAAUUGGAGAACGAAGCUGAAAACUUAGAACGAAGAAAUCUUCUGAAAUGAUGGCCUUUGGAUGAUCAAGAAAUGAAAACAACUCUGAAAUGCUCUGGAUGGGUAUGAAAAGAAUUGCGCGAUUGGAAACAAUUUGAGAGGAUGGCAACAAGUUAGAACCAUGAAUCUUCAAGAGAACGGACCAAGAUUUAGGAGAAAUUCUUCUUCGGUCUUCAAAUGUUGAGAAUGACGAUGAGAAACACCAUCAAGAAUUAUUGAGGCACUCCGGAACCGUGAAGAAUAGAAAGGUUGAAUCAACAAUGAAAAGAAUUUGAAAGAUCUUGGAGAAAGACAUUUGACUGAUGAUAAUUCAUUCUUACGUCAAACUUUGCAAUGAAUUUGAGAAUAACUCCGGAAAAAUUAGAUGAGUCAGGUAAGAUCCUGGAAAAAGACCUGAGGGGUAGGGCCCACUCAAAAGAAACACCGUUGAAUGAUUAAAAGAAAGAUUGCGCCGGUUGAAUUAAAUAGCUUGAAUGAGAUAACAACCUCAAAAUAGUUAGAAUUGAUGCAGAGUGGAAACACGAAUCUUCCGAGAUAUUUUCAGCACUCCGGAACAAUUGAAUAGCAAGCGGGGAAUGAUUAAGAGAUAUACCGACAUGAGAAAGCAUUUGAAACAAGGAAAGGAAUGACCAACAUUGAAGGCUUGAAUUUAGUCCACCGGAGAAGAAAAAGAAUGAAGAAUGAAAAACUUGAAGAAUAUCUUCAUGAGAACCACCGGGUAAGAACAUUGAUUGAAAAGAAUGAAGGGACUUCACGUGAAUAAAAUGGAUACUUGGUUAAGUCAUCUGAGUCCUUGAAGAAAGAGGGUGGGAGGGCGGGAAAACAAAGGCAACUUGGGGCAGAUGAAACAAACAACGUUGAGAAAACUUAUUAUUGAUCUUCCGAAUGGGGAGAAUGAUGGGAUCAUCUCGAAGAGAAACGCACUGGUUGGAAAUAGAAUUAAGAUGGCAAACUCGAUGAUCAAGAAGGAUUAGUAUCCACAUAGGAAUAUGAGAACACCGCUUAGAAUAAGGUAUGGGAUCAACAUUUGACUUCGAAGCAACUCAAAUACCACAAAUAAAACAAAACAAAGGAUUGGCUUGCGGAAUAAGCCGGAACAAACAUAUGAUAGAGAUUUCGUCCGAAGUUUUCGUGGUGGGGCCCACACGGGCUCGAUCGUACAGCACCAUCAUGUACAAGGCUGUGCACAUGACAUACGAAGCGUCCCCGAGUUGGCAUAGCCAAGGACUCUUUAAGACACUACGAGACCACUGUAAAACCAACCGUGGAAAGGCGGACCACUAGACGUCGAACCCCAAUCUCAUAUCAUGCAUCUGUCGGAAAGAUAUCCUAAGAGCUACUUGAAUUCCCACUUAUAAACUCCCGAAACUUUCUGGUUAUGCAAUCUGGUGUUGGGGAUACAGGGGACACAAAAUAUAUCACCCAGACUAACAAUACCUAGAUCCAGCUGUAUCCAUCCGUCAACACAUAACCAAGAAACCUUCGAAAAUCGUGUACCUCAACCUUCGAAAAGCAUCCGUUAUACGAGUUAUGGCAAUACUCCCGAACUCCCGCCCCAGUACUGGGUGGCGUCGAGGUGAUCUCACCAACAACUGCAUAAAAGAGAUUUUCGAUGUCGGCGAAACUCAGGUAUUCCAGAACUGCAACGAUAAAAUUGUGACGACAACACCUCGGAGCUCAACUCCCCGGGACACUGCCACAACCCCUAAAUGUCAGGAGGCACCAAGAACAAUGUUCUCGUCACAAAACCAUCGGAACGAUUCAAAGAUACCCGCGUGAUCCUAAAUUUUUUUUAGUGAAAUUUGAGGAGAGAAAAGUCAAAACUUCUACGUCAGGAGGCCUCACCAGAGCGACGAAGGGACUGAGGAAUAAAAAGAAUCCUACUCUCCGAUAUAUAUAAUCCUAAGACUCAAAACAUUUUUGUUCUAGACUCAACAACGUCAGCGAUUCGAUCAAGCAGGGGGCUCCUAAGUCGGGGAUGGCUCUGAUUACCAACUUGUAACGCCCACGAUGUGGCUAUAUCUCCCACGUGUCGAGGCACGACUUAGAGGCAUAACCGCAUUGUGGUUUGUCGCAAGAAGGGUCAUCUUCACACAAUCCCAUGUAAUGAACAAGAAUGGGAUAAAGAGUUGGCUUACAAUCGCCACUUCACACAAUACAUAAAUAAAAUCAUACAUCAUUCAAGAUACACACAUAGGUCCGACUACGGAACCAAAAUAAAAGAAGACAACCCAACUGCUAGAUCCCCGAUCGUCCCAACUGGGCACCACUACUGAUCAAUAUGAAAAGAAACAACACAUCGAACAAGAUCUUCAUCGAGCUCCCACUUGAGCUCAGUUGCGUCACCUGCACUGGUCUCAUCGGCACCUGCAACUGUUUGGAAGUAUCUGUGAGUCACGAGGACUCAGCAAUCUCACACCCGCGAGAUCAAGACCAUUCAAGCUUAAGGGUAGGAAAGGGGAAGGUGGUAAGGUUGCAGCAGCGACUAAGCAUAUAUGGUGGCUAACAUACGCAAAUAAGAGCGAGAAGAGGAGCAACGGAACGGUCGUCAACUAGUAAUGAUCAAGAAGUGAUCGUGAACUCCUACUUACGUCAAACAUAACCCAGAAACCGUGUUCACUUCCCGGACUCCGCCGAGAAGAGACCAUCACGGCUACACACGCGGUUGAUGCUUUUUAAUUAAGUCAAGUGUCAAGUUCUCUACAACCGGAUAUUAACAAAUUCCCAUCUGCCACAUAACCGUGGGCACGGCUUUCGAAAGAUAAUACCCUGCAGGGGUGUCCCAACUUAGCCCAUUAUAAGCUUUCACGGUCAACGAAGGAUAAACCUUCUCCCAGGAAGACCCGAUCAGUCUCGGAAUCCCGGUUUACAAGACAUUUCGACAAUGGUAAAACAAGACCAGCAAAGCCGCCCGGAUGUGCCGACAAAUCCCGAUAGGAGCUGCACAUAUCUCGUUCUCAGGGCACACCGGAUGAGCAAGAUGUCGGGUUGGCAUAGACCCUGGUUGCCCAGGGGGCGCCGGACAUCGCUCGGUUUGGACCAGCACUCGAAGGAGAACUGGCCCGGGGGUAAAUAAAGAUGACCCUUGAGUCUGCAGAACCCAAGGGAAAAAGGCUUAGGUAGGCAAAUGGUAAAACCAAGGUUGGGCCUUGCUGGAGGAGUUUUAUUCAAGGCGAACUGUCAAGGGGGUCCCAUAAAUCACCCAACCGCGUAAGGAACGCAAAAUCAAGGAACAUAACACCGGUAUGACGGAAACUAGGGCGGCAAGAGUGGAACAAAACACCAGACAUGAGGCCGAGCCUUCCACCCUUUACCAAGUAUAUAGAUGCAUUAAUUAAAUAAGAGGUAUUGUGAUAUCCCAACAGAGUUCAUAAUAUCCAUGUUCCAACAAGGAACAAACUCCAUCUUCACCUGCAACUAACAACUCUAUAAGAGGGGCUGAGCAAACGCGGUAACAUAGCCAAACAACGGUUUGCUAGGAAGGGUGACAAAUGUUAGAGGUUCAUGGCAAUUUGGGAGGCUUGAAAAGCAAGUGGUAGGUAGCGUGGCAUAGCAAUAGAGCGAACAGCUAGCAAGCAAAGAUAGAAGUGAUUUCGAGGGUAUGGUCAUCUUGCCUGAGAUCCUGCAAGGAAGAAGAACGAGUCCACGAAGUAGACAAGCGGACGUAGUUGAACGAAUCCUCACAACUCCGGAACGAAACCGAAGCUAACGAGAGAAGCAAACCGGAAAGAAGCAAACAACAUAGUAAACCACCACCACAUAAACAUGGCAUGAAGCACAAUCAAGUAUGAUGCAUGUCCGGUUUAAUGAGGCAUGGCAUGGCAAAGCGCACAAACAAAACUACAAGUUAAGUGGAGCUCAAUAUGCAACGAGUUGCAUAUUGACGAAACACCACAUUUAAUUAUUUAGUUCUCUCUCGUUUAUGGACCCAACAAUGUUAAAUGUUAUUAACCAUGGCAAGAGGUGAAGCAUAUGGAAACUACCUAUUUUAGGCAAUUUAAAUGAGGCCGGAACAACAAACAACAAUUCCGGAAAACCUCAUAUGCAUAUUUUGAAUUUGGUACUGUUCUGCCAUAAACGCAAUUUUAAUGUUGUUAAACAGCAACAUGAAGUGCACCAUGUUAAACUAGGCAUUUUUCUACCCCAUUUACAUAUAAAUUUUAUUAAAAUCCGAGUUACGGUUAUCUAGUUAUGAAAUAAAUCAUUUUAACAUAUUAUCCGAGCAAAUUUAAUCAAACAACAUUUUAAACAAUUUUAACAUGGGUGAAAGUGGCAUAUUAUUAAACUACACAAAAUUCUAAGCAUUUUACAUAUUUAGUUUGUUUUAAUCCGAUGCACGGUUCGUGAGUUAUUAUAUGCAUGAAGUUCAAGGGUUUUUCUGCAAAUCUGUAAAUCCUGGGAAAAUAGUUAAAAUCGCAGAACCUAAAAAAUACCUAUGCGGGCCGAAUCUGCUGCAUGUUGGGCCAACAGAGAUGAGCUGUGGGGAGCUCACCCAUGGGCCAAGGCCCAGUCUGUGGAGGAGGAGGCCGCUGGGCCUGGCGCAGGUGUGACCCAGCCGACGCUCGUGGUCAACGGGCGGGCGAGCGAGCAGCAGAGGAGGCCGAGGCGCCAUGGCAGGGGAACGGCAGCAGCGGGACUGGAACGAGCACGAGGACGACGCCCACGAGCUCCACGCCACGGCGGAGGGCGGAACUGGACGGACUCGAGGGCAGGGAGGCGGCUUGGCGACGCGGGACUUGGCGAGGCGGAGGGCGCGGGAACACCGGUUCCAUCCGGGAACGAGGCGGGGCGAGCUGGGCGGCCCUGGGAGUUGGUGGAGCGGCGGGGACCCGAGCCGAUCCGGCCGGAGUUGAGGCGAAGGUGCGGCGGGGUUGAGCCGGAGCAUCCAUGGCGGCCGUUGGCGACGGGAACCUGCGGGAGCUCUGUUUCAACGAGACAGAGAGAGAGAGAGUGAAACACGGGAGAGAGAUGGUGAAGAAAGGGAAGGAGAGCAGGAGAGAGGGCGAGGGAGUCUGUCCUGGUCCUGGUCUGUGCUGCUUCCGAUCCAUCCUGGAUCGAGGCACGGGAGGAGGGAACGAGGCGCAGAGGGCAUCGGGCUCCAGAUCGAUGCGAGGAAGGGCGGCCUUGGAGGAAGAAGGUUGCGAGGAGGCGAGGGCAUCUCCUCGAGGAGAAAGAAGAAGCAGGGCGCGGCGGUGGUCCUGGAGGUCGCCGUUGAGCCGGCUGGCCGCGCGAGAAGACGAGGCCGAGCGCUCCUGCUCGGGCCUUGGGAAGAGAGGGGGUGGCGGCUGCUGCACAAAGGCUCGGCGAGGGGUGGAUCGGGAAGGAGGCUGGUUGGGUCGAUGUGGAAAUCGAGGAGGAUUUUUGAGAGGGUGGCGGCGGCUGAUCCGGGGAGGGGAAGGGUGUAGGUGGCGGCGGUAGGGGGCACAAAUGUCCUAGGAUUUAGGGUUUGGUCUAAAAAUGGACACGGAGGUCUAUAUAUAUAACAAGUGAAUUUUUGAUAGGGGCAUUUGGUCCCUCCGAUUAAAAUCGGACGAUCGAGAAAAAUAAGUUAGGAGAGUCCAACAAAGAAAACGGUGAUGUUUUGUAAAUGUUAGGGGAUGAUCCGGGCCCAACGGUCACAACGGUCCGGGUCGGGUUCGGGGAAGUUUUCGGACGCACGCCAGAGGGGGUGGUUGUUGUGCAGAGAGGGACAAACGGUCAGACAAGAGAGAAUCGAAAAAAACCGGUUAGACUCAGAACGGUCAACGAACGCAACAGAGAGAAGCGAGGAGUGGCAACUACGAGCGGAUGCAAGUUUUAAAAACAACGACGACAACGAGGUGCCGACGCAAUGCGGAUGAUGCGAUGAUGAAUGCAACAAACAAAUAAAUACACACAACGAUAACGAAAAAGAUGGAAGGCGUCUGGAGCAUCGGUCUCGGGGCAUUACAGUUUUAUAGACUCUUGGAGAUGAUCCGGACCCAUCGGUAGCGAUAGUCCGGGUCGGGUUCGGGGGCAAGUUUCGGACGCGCGCGAGGGGUGGUCUGAGAGGGGUCGACAAAGACAAAGUGUCUGACAAAAGGCCCCGGAGAAGAUAAGAGAGAAAACGAGGAGCAACGUUGCAAGUGUGGUUGGUCUCGAAACGGUCAACGAAAGCAAGGGGGAUGCGGCAACUACGAGUUGAUGCAAGUUUUAAAAACAAUGACGGCAACGAGUGCCGAUGCAAUGCGGAUGAUGCCAUGAUGAAAUGCAACCAACAAAAAUAAAACACACGGCGAACACGAAAUAUAUGAAAGUCUUCUGAAGCGUCGGUCUCGGGGCGUUACAUAAAGGAAGAGCCCUUCUUUAAUACUGCGUUCAUCAAAUCACCUUCGGGAAAAUACUUGGCUCUUAGGAUUGUUGCACAUAAUGAUUCAGGAUUAUCCACGAGACGCCAUGCUUGCUUCGCAAAUAAAGCCAGAUUAAAGCAGUGUAUAUCACGGAAACCCAUUCCUCCUUGUUCUUUUGGAACACAUCUUCCACCAUGCCAUCCAGUGCAUCCUUUUCUGAUUGUCCUCGUCACCCCACCAAAAUUGCGACAUCGCGUCUAUGAUUCCUUUGCAAAUCUUUUUAGGAAUUUUAAAGACGGACAUUGCAUAUGUUGGGAUUGGUUGAACAACAGACUUAAGCAAAAUUUCCUUUCCACCCGCCGAUAACAACUUUUCUUUCCAUCCACUAAUCUUCAUAAUAAUACGAGCAAUCAAGAACUGAAAACAAUCACUUUUGUCCAUGCCCACAUUGGCAGGUAAUCCCAAAUAUUUAUCAUUAAGUACCUCAGUCAUAAUAUUUAGAAUUGUACAGAUUUGCGCUUUGUCCUCCACUUUUGUAUUGGGACUAAAAAAUAUGCUGGAUUUUUCGACACUCACCAUCUGCCCCGAGACGGCACAAUAAGAGUCCAGAACCGCUCUAAGGGCCUCCACAUUCAUUGCAUUUGCUUGCAUGAGGAUCAAUGAAUCAUCCGCAAAUAAUAGAUUGGAUACUGAGGGAGCUUCCCUACUAACCUUUAUGCCAGAGAUAUUUCCUCUCUCCUCCGCAUUUGCUAAAAGGGCAGUCAGGCCCUCCAUACAUAACAGGAAUAAGUAGGGUGAGAGGGGAUCCCCCUGCCUUAGCCCUCUAGUGGGUUUGAAGCUAUCAGUCUCCUCUGCAUUAACCCGAAUCAUGUACUCCACCGAGGAUACACAUUGCAUGAUCAAAUUCACCUAGUUUUCCUUGAAGCCCAGCUUCACCAAAAUUGCUUUUAAAAAAGACCAUUCCACUCGGUCAUAAGCUUUGUGCACGUCCAACUUGAUUGCACACAGACCCUCCCUCCCCGUUCUUUUCUAUUUUAUUGUGUGGAAACACUCGUAUGCUACCAAAAUAAUAUAUGUGAUUAGUCUCCCAGGGACAAAAACACUCUGAGUUGGGCUGAUAAUGUCUGACAAAAUUAAUUUCAGACGCGUUGCAAUCAUUUUUGAAAUAACCUUAUACACCACAUUGCAUAAACUAAUAGGUCUAAAGUGAGUAACCUUUUCUGGGGAGUUAACCUUUGGGAUCAUGACAAUUGCAGUAUCAUUUCAUCCUGCCGGUAUUGAACAUGUAUUCACCGCCUGUAGUACUUCUUUUGUCAGGUCCUCUCCCAACAUAGACCAAAAUCUCUUAUAAAAAAUGGCGUGAAGACCAUCUGGACCUGGCGCUUUUAAAUCACCAAUGUCAAAUAAGGCUUUCUUAACUUCCUCUUCCGUACACGGGGCCAUGAGGGCCCUAUUCAUUUCAUCUGUUACUUUUCUUUUAACAAGAGAGAGAACUCCUGGGUCUGGUUGCAAGACUUCGGACAUGAAGAGUUUUGAAAAAUACCCUUUAAUAUAAUCCUUCAUUUCCGUACCUUGCACCCAGACUCCGUCAUCCCUAAGCAAUUUUUAAUCUGGUUCCGUUUCUUUCUAGCCGUUGCCGCGUUAUGAAAGAAAGAAGUGUUGCGAUCCCAUGCAAUAACCAAUUUGCACAACCACGCUGUACCCAAUGAAUCUCCUCUUGUUCCAGCAAAUUUUCAAUGAGAACCAAAAUCUCCUUCUGUCGUGCUUGGGAAUCCACAUUCAUAGGGCCUCUCCGUAGCUUUUCCAACUCUUUUUUUAGCUUUUUUAUUCUCUGUUUUGGGCCUCUCAAAACCUCACGAUCCCAAAUGUGCAGAGAUCUGACUGGAGCGCACGAGUACGAUCAGCGAGUUUUGGCCCAAUACCCAUCAUCUUUGCCUUUUCCCAUGCUGUACGAACAAUUUCGCCGACCGUCUCCUCCUUGAGCCAUCUAGCUUCAAAUUGUUUUACUCGUCCCCUUGGGGCAUUAAAAAUAUUUCCAUCAAAAUAUUCCAUCUCCAGUACGAGUGGACGAUGAUCAGAAUGAACAUGUUCCUCAUUAAUUAACGCAGCCCGAGGGAAUUUGUUCGCCCAUUCCACAUUGCACACCGCACGGUCAAGCCUCUCUCUAGUAUCGCCUUCCCUCCAAGUGAAAGGGUCACCAAUACAACCCAUAUCCUCGAGGCCACACUCUCCUAGACAAUUACGGAAGUCUCUCAUCAUAGCAUUUGGUCUUGCAAUUCCGCCCUCUUUUUCUGACGACAGUAAAAUUUCAUUAAAAUCCCCUAAGAUCACCCAGGGGUGAUGACCCAGAUUAUGUAAAUUCCUAAUAUUAUCCCACGAUAACUUACGAUCACUCCAAGCCGGAUGCCCAUAAAAACCCGUGAACCGCCAAUGUACAUCAUUAUCAUUCAUAAAAAGAAUGUCAAUAAAAUGAGACGACACAUAGUUUGAAACAACUUUAUUCAACUUAUUAUAGUACAAGACUAGGCCAACGGCCCGACCAUCACUCUCUACUACAAUCAUCGAAUCAAAAGAUAAAGAACGACCCAGCUCAUCUGCUUUACAUUUAUUCAAGUCUGACUCUGAGAGAAAGAUCAAAUCAGCCUUGGUACGCUGCUGGAGCUCCAAGAGCUCACGAACUGCCGUGGGGGAGAGCAUACCAUGACAUUUCCAUCCUAGGAUCCUCAUUUGGCCCGGCGGUCCUCCUCCUCGGAGGCCGCCGAUGUGCCAUCAUCUCCAACCGACUCCCUCCUCUGUUGCAUGUAUGCCUCCUCAGUGUCAACUCUACCCAUACAGACUCUCUUGGAAGAAACACUCAUGUCACCAUACAGCACACGCUCAUAGCUAUCCAUUUCCCUCUCAAAAGAAAAAAUUUGGUCACUCCCUGUUGGUGGAACCCCAAAAGGAUUACCCCUCUUUUUCCCUAUGAUCUCUUUUCGAGCACUUUCAGCUUUCUCAUCCCCUCCCUUCUUUUUACCUUUCCUCUCCUUUCUUUUUGCUUGGCCGUGCAUAGGAUUCUUUUUAGCAGUGAAAGUAAACACUCCAGACUCCUUGGCCGUAGCUGGGCUAGCUAGCCUCGCAACCAGAGCUCCUGUAAGUGCCUCAAGCACCCCAGGCUCAAAUAAAACUUGAUUAUGCAUGUUAAAAGUGGCAGCCGCAUCAGAAACUGCAUUAGCUGCACCCUUCGAGUGGAUCCCCUGGCCUUCCUGGCCAACAGGACACUCCGGAUUGGCAGCAGCAGCAGCCAUCACUUGGGAAUAUGGGGGCGCUCCCAGGUGCAGCCGCACAUGGCCCUCCUGGCCUUGGUGCAGUGGUGGUGUAGGGGCACCCAAGCGUGCACCCUGGUCCUCCUGACCAGGGCCAUCCCCCCGCUUAGAGUGCAGGGACGCCCCGAGUCGGCCCUCCUGGCCAAGUGCCAGCACCCCCCUGAUGGGCACACUCCUGGCCGCCAAUCCUUGGCCUUCCUGGCCAAGGCUAGCGUGCUUGAGUGGUCUGUGAUCCGGGUCCGCCUGACUCGAAGCAGCUACCACGGGUGCCGGCAACGAAGGCACCUGCCCCCGGCCCUCCUGGCCGAGGGCGUGGCCUCCCUGGACUGGUCCUCCAGUCAAUAGGAUGGCCGAAGUCGAGGAUGAUGCUUCACCUUUUUCUUUCACGGUAAGGUUGUUUACAGCCUUAAUGACCUUGACCACCAUGCCUUCAGUUGCCUUGGAGGUAUUUUUGUUACUAUAGCCUGUGUACAAAAGAUUUCUUCUACUAGAUGUGUUGCCUUUCCAGUAGGCCUCUACACUGAGAUUUUUCUCAAAAACAGGUACUCUACUCUCUUUAGGAAUUCUACAGAACCUUUCAGACAUAAGGCCUACAAGUCCACAACACUCACAAUACGACGGCAACUUUUCAUAACGAACAUCAAAUUGGAGUGUUUCUUGCUGCCCAAGGGAGUGAACUCUACCGUACUUUUAAGUGGCUCAUGCAGCGGGAUUUUUACGCGUACACGCAAAUACUUCUCUACGAUCAGGUGAUUCUGAUGGGAGACUGUUAUCACUUUACUGAUUUGGUCCCCUAGAGACAAACCCACCUCUUCUGUUUUAAGCUCAAACGGUAGGUCACGAACCUGGGCCCAUAUAGCCAUGGCACCAAGAUCCACCUCCGCCGGGUUACCCUUGCCGUCGAACUCAGCAAAAAUGAUCCCGUCGCGCUUAUGGUGCCACGGCUGGGCCUUCAGCACGAAGCGUCUGUCCACGUCGGCGGAGAAGUUGAGGAUGAACCUCCCGUCGUCGCUGUCCACCUCCUGAACGGUGACCUCGCCUUGCAACCUCCAAGCCGACGUAUCACGGAGGUCACCGACGAGGAUGCGUAUGUACUUGGAAGGGCGAUAGAAAUCGCCCUACCACCAGGUAGCCACUAAUAGCCCUCCUCGCGGCCUCCAUGUCGAUGAUCAGCGGGGAGCCAUCCCCGCGAGGCCGCCUUGACACCUUCAUCCCCUCACCCUCAGGCGAAGGAGCCCAAGCAGAAGAACCCCUCCCCAUGGUCGCUGGUACAGAACCUGAACCCUGACCCACUUCCUUCUCCGCCUCCCCUCUCUUCUCCAUCUCCCUCUCUCUCACUAUCACAACCCGAGCAGGGAAGAACACUAAGAGGGAAGUCAGGAAUUCUAGCUGUGACAGAUGAGCUGGUGACCCGAGACUCAUUCCUCUGAUGAAGAUAUAGUAUUUCCCCUCUCCCAAAAUCGCCACAACCAGGACGAGAGUUAUGCACUUAACGGAAAUUAAAGGAUCAUAAAUGUGCAGUUUCCAUAAUAAAAUCCCACUAAUUUCUCUAUUUUCCUUUGAUGUACAAGAAACGCUCCUCCCCUGAUUUCUAUCUUCCUCAUCCAAAUCUCUCAAAGAGUAAAUUUUGCUGUAAUCCCGAGCCUUAAUACUAGCACCCACAAUCGGGGCAGCUAUCCCGGACGGGAUCAAGGCCAGAGAAUCACCACAUGGCCGUACCUCGGAUUUGUUGCCGUUGAAGCCGCCCGUCUUCACCCUCCCUGCCCGAUCGGGUAGAGACUUUGCUGGAUGCACGCGCAGCAUCUCCUCCGCACGCCUCUUCCUCUGUUUCCAACAUCUCUCCCGAUUUGGAGAUCGCCGGAGGAUUCGCCUUGAUUCCGCCUUGAUUUUUUCCCAAUCCGGCGCGCCCGCUGCGCCCCCGAUGGAAAUCCCCCUCCUAAUGGGAUUGCGAUGCGCCACUGAAUCUACCUGGGGCGCCGCAGAUGCCCCUCCCCCGAUGGGGACUCGAUCCGCCGGGGUCUCCGCCGGAAUCACCGACGCCGUCGCUCCCCCCUCUAUCUCCGUCGCCGCCAGAUCGCCUUGCGAUCGCGGGAGCUCCGGGUUUUUUUUGCAAAACUGCCCCCUCUUCUCUUUUGAUAAAAAAGAAAUAGAACCAAAAAACUGAAAAAGAAUGAUGGAGGUGUAGUGGAGGCAGAGGAGGAGAAGGUGGCGAUGGUGGCUGACUAUUUCCAGCAAUUAUUUUUCUAAGGUUGGAUGGUUAGAGGGACUAUGGUAUCUCCAGCCCACUAAGGUUCAAG
rnacentral:lncRNA from 1 species